rnacentral:lncRNA from 1 species
CUCCGGUGCUGGUGCACCAGCAGUUCGGGCUGCAUCUCCUCAAUCAUGGACGGGCGGCGUUCCAAUCCAUUCCCCAAUUGUACAACAGCCGCUGCGAGGCUGCUGCCAUCGGCCCGCAUCCUCGCUGAUGUCUAUUUUUUUUAAAAACACGGUACAAACGCAGACGCUCGUUGAGCUCCGUCCCGAGGCCAUCCUCCCCAUGGCGCUCCGCCCACCACCUCGAUCUCCGCCCGACACCGUCUCGAGUGGCAGCGGCGGCGACCACCACGGCAAAGGCGGCGCGCAGCAGGGACGUAGAAGAUUUGAAAUGGGAUAAAGCUUGAUUGGCUAGUCGGCUAAGGCUCCUGUAUCGGCUCACUCCGAUAUCAAGAAGACUUCAUAUAGAAUCAGGCUCGUGAGUGACAGGUGGGCCCUAAUCAUUAAGUUGGUGAAAUCUGAGAAUUUUUUUUUUUUUGUUAGUAAUUAGUCUUCGACUCGUGGGUAUAAGUUAAGAGCUUUUGGGUUUGUGUUUUUUGUUACGAGAUCGGCUAGAAAUGUGUCUUUGUGUAAUUUUGUGGCGACCCAGACCAUUAAGGUCCUGAAAUCACUGUGUUUAUAGUACUAGUCCCUGGAUCAAUGCUAGUACACACAGUUCACGAUGAAAUAUCAUAAUUCAUGUCUUUAUUACAACGUAUAAAAGAUAACAAUCCAGAGUAUUAUUACACAACGAAAGUCUAAAAUAUCAAAUGAAGAUAAAUGAGCUUUCAUCCACGCCACAGGCAAGUUGAAUGUAGACUCGCGACCGUGCGUACCUCCUUCCUUUAAUUAUCACUCUCUGCACAUGAUAGGUGCAGAUAAGUACAUUGAAUGUACUCGCAAGUAAAUACCUGUGAGGUUAGGAGAAAUGCAAGUACAUGCUUAUUAGAUAGUUCCUAAGUGGCUUCUAUGGUUCUUUUGCCAAAACAGCAAGUUUCAUUUUGAAAUACUCAUAAUAGCUUUUCUUUGCAAAACUCUAAAUCUAGAAUUUCAUAGAAAAUAGUUUUGAAAAGUAGAUAUGGUCUUUCUAUGGAAUCUCCACGACCUAACUAUGUAUUCUGGGUCAAACUGACACUGACAUAGCAACCCUUGAUUUCCCUGACCCAUUCUGUGGGAUCCAUCGAGUAGAUACUCAUUCUGUGGAUGCUUCCAUCGAGUCAAAACAGUGUUUGGUUUUUGAAAACAAAACUAGAAGAUCUCCUCUUAACUAGACUUAGUAGCUCAAAGGUCGCCCGUAAGCAAGGGCAUGGCUAAUCGAUUAGAUUGACACUCUCGAGAGGUUUGUACACUUUACCCACCAGACACAAUCAGUCCAAAGUGUUGCCUAACGACAAGCGUGCGCAACAGGUAAAGAUUGUGACGAAGUCUUUCACUAGAAGCCCCCUAUACUUAAUCCUGGCACCGCCCGCCCCAUAUGAGCACAUUGGCCCCUCUCCGGAUGACGAUACCCAAGUAAGGGUUUCCCAGUAGUUACUCGACUAAGCCAGAGCCAUAAUAGCAGGUGGUUGUACAGGUAAGCUUUUGGGUUCCAUUGGAAAAGAAUUGAACUUUUAGAUUCUGGACGGCGGUCCCAACGAAAAUCCUGAGCAUCUGCAGAGCCGAAUUGGAUGCUGCUCUUGUCGACAACCAAUAAUGGUCUCAAACUUACCACUCCGCCUAGUUGAAAACAUUUUGAGGAUUUUGUUUCAAAAACAUUUUUCCAAACACAUACGACUCAAUUCUGAGCACUUAAUACUUUGAAAAUAGUUGGUCCCUCCCGGUACAAUAAUAUAGCAAGCACUUUGUAAAAUCAUACAAGCAAUAACUUAGGGUAAUUGGUGGCAUGACAAUAACUUAUAGGCAUACUACUUAGGACAUAGCUAAUAAAUUGCAAACGCAUUUUAUAAAUACUUCAUAACAAUAUAAACCUACACAUGCAUGCCUACAACUUAUAAACAAAGUAGCAUAUGCAAAAAUUAUAGGAUUCUAGAUGAUCAAAGGUAUCCACUUGCCUGAGCCUGAGUUGCUGUAACGAUCAAAAUUUCCCUGGCACUCUUCACACUCACACUCGGGAUAAUCUAUCGCGAAGAACGAAAGCAACAAUGAAUAACUUGUUCAACAACUCCAAAUUAUAACUCCAAUAAGAGCCGGAUAAGAAUUACAAAAACUUAAAUUUAGAAAAGCAGCUAACAAGGCACAACUAACACUAAUCCAACCGCAAGCACAGAUCUAAGGCUAGGGACAAGAUUUGGAACCAAGUGGAGACAAAUGAUAACCUACAAGCUGAUAGCAGAUAGCGAAUCUAACGGGAAGGGGACUGUCGAAACACGUCUGAACUAACGGUACGGAAGGUACUGAAACUAAUAACGUAACUUAAGGCUUAUAACACAGAAAGUUUCAUCUAAAACGGAGCUAGGAAACAAAAGAUACAAGCCUACGAAAGUAGCUAAUCAAAAACAGCAUUCUGUGAAUACAGUUUUCAAUUAUUAAUCUAGUAGUGUAAUCUAAUUACAUGUUACGUGAAAAGUGUUCUGAGGUGCAGAUUUUUAACCAAUAUUUACAUUACAGAAAUAAUAAACCAAAAGGGGUUUAUAGGUUUUGAACAUUAAGCUCUACAAAGUGUCUAAUGAAUAACAGUGCUGGCUAGACUAAACCGGUGUCUUAAGUUCUUUUUAACAGGUAGCUAGUUUUGACAAACUUUUAGGUCAUUAUCUAAACCUAAAAAAGGUGCAAAAAAAAAAUAGGGUGUAACACAAGACCUACUCGUCAUCCUACAGAAGCUUACAACCUAAACGGGUCUACAAUCUACUCAACAAGAACGUCGAAAGGUAUCUAAUCUAAAACAGACUAACUGGGAAUACCGAUUUGGAACGAUGAUGCACUGCUGAAGAUGAUAGAGACGGGGCUUCUAAAGAGGUGUAAUUUAUAGAGCAAGAUGUAAGCUACCAGAUGCAAAAAGAAUUUCCUAAAUAGGAUCUACGGAACAAAAGAUACGGAGUAUAGAAGUAGGCUAAUCAAAACAGACUGCAGCUCGAAAACAGAGCAAGAAAGCUCACCGGAGAAGAUGGAGUUCGCCGGAGUUGAUGGGAGUCGGCGAAACAGAGGUUUCCGGAAGCAAGGCUGUGGUGUAUGGUGUUCUAGGCGUCGAAAGGGAUCUAAAGGUGGUGAUGGCUCGGGAUAAUUUGGGGCGAGGCGGUAGGAAUUGCUCGCCGGAGUUUGCGUGGAAACGGCGACGAAACUUGAAAUUGGUGGCAAGGUUGACUGCGGCUUCGAGCUAGAUUUCGAGGGAUUGGUCGGGGCUCUCGAGGGCGUCAGCUUGGGAUAUUUAUAGGGCUCGGGGCGCUCGGGAUAAGGCCGGCGGCGGGUGAGAUUUGAACGGGAUUCGGUUUCGCUUAAAAUUCGGACGAGAUAGAGUCCGGGAGGGUUUCAAUCUUGUUGGGAUAGAUUCCUUGCUGUGUGGGUCACGAAUUAGCGAAGAAAUCACGGAGAAAAACGGUUUGGAGGAUGUGUUCAAGAUGGACGGCCAUGGACGCCGGCGACUCGAGCUCGAGCUCAGGCUCGGCCAUGGCAGGGGCAGCGCGGGCGGGCGGCGGGGCUGCGGCGGCGAGCGGCGGAGCCAGGGCGGCGGGGCAGGGCCGGCGAGCAGCAGCGGCGGCCGGGCUGGGCUUGGCCAUGGACGCAGCCAGAACAGGCACAGCCUGUGCUUGCGUGAGGAAGAAGAAGGAGGAAAGGAGAAAAGAAAAAAAAAAGGAAAAGAAAAAAGGAAAAAGGAAGGAUGACCGUUGGAUGGAAAAUGGAUGGAUGAGAUUAAAAGAUAUCUCUUCGGUACACUUAAGUGAAAACGGGUUUCACGGAAAUACGCCUCCAUGUAGAGAAAACGUACUCCGCGGAAUAAAAGAAAAAGAAAUAAAGAAAUAGCUUUUUUCUAGGUCUCUAAAUUGCCAGAAAAUCAAAUAAGGCAAAUAAAAUACCAAACGGCAUUGGAAAAAUUCCAGAAAAUUCCUGAAAUUCCAAAUACCUGUUUGGAAGCUAGGAAAAAUAGUUUCCUCAUGAAAUAUAAUUUAUAAAACUAUUUUUAAUGCAUAUGCAGCUCAAAUAAAUUCUAACAAAUGCAUAUAAUCACUGUUAAGGUCCAAAUAAACUCCCAAUUAAAUUGUAAAAUCAUCUCCAAACUCAAAUAUGGUCAAAAUGAUAUGCAUGUUACAAAUUUACUCUACAAAGAACACCUCAUACAUGCAAGAACACCUCGCAGUGAUGCAAUGUCCACUGUCACUCUCUCAGGUCGAUAGAUGAAAGACCAACGAGCCAUAUGCUUUCCCUGUUCGCCAUCUCUCCUCUGUAGCUAGGCUUUAUCGUCUGUUGGCCAGUGUGGUGCAUGCGCGGAAGUUGCGCAACGGUAAUUCCCAAGCGACAAUCCUUAACCGUUUGCUGGGUUUUCCUUGCAAACAUCCCCCAACGAUUCGAUCCACAGCUAGCUCCAAAAUGCUCCAUUAUCUCGGUCACACCAAUGCCUGUGCCUACGUAACGUACGUACAGCCAUAACAAGAACGUGUAAUCUAAACAGGGAGCAACGCAUGCACUACUCAUUAUAAAACCCCAUGCAUGAACAAUUCGUAAUACUACACCAGAUCAUCGUCACGAAGGUAGCAAUGGGAAGCUUCAAGCUCUCCAUGUUUGUCUCCCUUCUCCCCUUCUUCCUCCUCUUCUUCGCCCUAGCAGUCGCCGCCGCCAGCAGGGAAGAGCUCAGCACGUACCUCGUCCACGUGCAGCCCCAGGAUGGGGACCUGUUCGCCACGCCUGACGCCCGGGAGACGUGGUACAAGUCGUUCCUCCCGGAGCACGGCCAUGGGCGUCUCCUCCACGCGUACCACCACGUCGCCAGCGGUUUCGCGGCCCGGCUGACCCGCGGUGAGCUCGCCGCGAUCACCGCCAUGCCCGGCUUCGUGGCCGCGGUCCCCAGCGUGGUCUACAAGGUGCAGACCACGCACACGCCGCGGUUCCUCGGUCUGGACACGAUGCAGGGCGGGAGGAACGCCACGGCAGGGUCCGGCGACGGUGUCAUUAUCGGGGUGCUCGACACCGGCAUCUUCCCUGACCACCCUUCCUUCAGCGGCGCCGGCAUGCCUCCUCCACCGGCCAAGUGGAAGGGCCGGUGUGACUUCAACGGCUCCGCCUGCAACAACAAGCUUAUCGGUGCUCAGACUUUCCUCAGCGGUGGCUCAUCUCCCCCCGGUGCACGUGCACCACCCACCGACGAGGUAGGACAUGGCACGCACACUUCCAGCACCGCAGCGGGAGCGUUGGUGCCAGGCGCUCAGGUGUUUGGCCAGGGCAGCGGAAGCGCGUCAGGGAUUGCUCCCCGCGCACACGUUGCUAUGUACAAGGUCUGCGCUGGCGAAAGUUGCGAUGACGUGGACAUCCUCGCUGGCAUUGACGCCGCCGUGUCCGACGGCUGCGAUGUCAUAUCCAUGUCGCUCGGUGGGGAUUCAGUGCCCUUCUUCAAUGACAGCUUCGCCAUCGGCACUUUCGCUGCCGCAGAGAAGGGAAUCUUCGUCAGCAUGGCAGCCGGCAACUCUGGCCCGAUCCACUCCACGCUGUCGAACGAGGCUCCAUGGAUGCUUACCGUGGCUGCCAGCACCAUGGACCGUUUGAUCCUCGCCAAGGUGAUCCUCGGAAACAACGCCUCCUUCGAUGGUGAGUCAAUCUUGCAGCCCAACACAACGGCGACCGUUGGGCUAGUCUACGCCGGCGCGAGCCCGACGCCCGACGCACAGUUCUGUGACCAUGGCUCACUGGACGGCUUGGACGUCAAGGGAAAGAUCGUGCUCUGCGAUCUCGACGGCUUCGGCAGUGAUGCUGGCACCGAGGUGCUGAGAGCCGGAGGCGCCGGCUUGAUCCUAGCCAACCCGUUCAUCAACGGCUACAGCACGUUCACCGACUUCGUGUAUGCUCUCCCGGCAUCCCAGGUCAGCUACGCCGCCGGGGUGUUGAUCAAGACCUACAUCAACUCCACAGCAAACCCGACGGCGCAGAUCGCCUUCAAAGGCACGGUGCUCGGCACGUCGCCGGCGCCGGCGAUCACGUCAUUCUCCUCUCGUGGGCCCAGCAUCCAAAACCCAGGAAUCCUAAAGCCUGACAUCACGGGCCCUGGUGUGAAUGUGCUUGCCGCCUGGCCAUUCCAAGUCGGCCCAUCAGCGUUUGACUCCACGCCCACCUACAACAUCAUUUCCGGCACAUCCAUGUCCACGCCACACCUCGCCGGCAUCGCCGCGCUGAUCAAGAGCAAGCACCCGGACUGGUCGCCAGCGGCCAUCAAGUCCGCCAUUAUGACGACCGCCGAUGUCAACGACCGCUCCGGCGGGCCGAUACUCGACGAGCAACACAAUACCGCCAACCUCUUCGCCGUGGGAGCCGGCCACGUCAACCCGGAGAAGGCCGUGGACCCUGGCCUGGUCUACGACAUUGCGUCGGCUGACUACAUCGGGUACCUUUGCAGCAUGUACACGGACAAGGAGGUCUCGGUGAUCGCGCGCACCGCGGUGAACUGCUCCGCCAUCACGGUGAUCCCGCAGAGCCAGUUGAACUACCCGUCCAUCGCGGUCACGUUUCCGGUGAACCGUACAGCGUUGGCUCCGAUGAUUGUUAAGCGCACUGUGAAGCUCGUCGGAGAGUCACCGGCGGAGUACAAGGCCGUGAUCGAGGUGCCGGCGGGUGGCUCGGUGAACGUCACCGUUUUGCCUAGCGUGCUUUCGUUCAGCGAGGCGAGCCCGGUGCAGAACUUCACCGUCCUCGUGUGGUCCUGGUCGGCGGAGGCCAGCCCCGCGCCGACGAAGGCCGCGCUCCUGUGGGUGUCGGCCAGGCACACCGUCAGGAGCCCCAUCUCCAUCAGCUUCACCCCGCGCUAGAUCAGCUUUGAGAGCCCCCUCGGUAUACUGGCUGCUUUUACAAUGUCAGCGUUACUUCGACAUAUUUGGGUUUGGACUUGGGAGUCACACGAUUGAUCUAGCGAAUACACAUGCAAGACAACUAUAUUUUACAUUACCUUCUUUUUAAGGUUUUUCCCAGUGCUGUGCAUCGCCCUUUUGAUGUUGUUCUUACUCACAAUAAAUGCUAAGUAAUCAUUUCCUCGAUGCAUUACCUCUUAGUGUUGUAUCUAAAGUAACAAUAUCUAAUAAUUUGCAAGAGCGGGUUAUUGACUUUGUGCUGGUUUGCGUGAAGAGUCAUUGGCAUAAGAUACGGUUUCAUCAUUAAUUAUGUGUAAUACCCGUAAAAUGCCUAAGAUAACGUGCUAAGAGACCAGCACUGUGUGAAAGGCCUAAGAAAACAGGAGAAGCAUUUCCAUUUUCCAUCACCUCUCAACAUAAAUCACAUACGCUUCCAUUUUUCAUCGAUAUCAUUUGCACAACACGCCACUAUGUUAAUCUAACUUGCAGAUACAGAUGGUAGCAAACCUCACGUGCAUCUAGCGGCAAUGCGAACUCCAGCCUCCAGGACAGUAAACAAACUCCUUGAGAACUAAAUUUUCACACACAAGAUAAUUUUUGACACAUGUACAUAAAUAAAAUGCACAGUUCUCUCUACAGUUUAUAGAUGACAUCAACGGUUAAACACUUAAUUAAAACUGCAUCAGGAGUUCAACCCAAGACGGCAUACUGUGUACAUGAAAAUUCUCUAUAUGACCUUAAUCUCCUUGAGCCAAGCUGUGUGGAGUGGGCACGGAUCUGUCUUUCCUUGUGCGAGUGCCUUUUCAGUAAGAGAGUAAAACCAACCAUUCCUCCACUUGAACUGCAACGUUGAAAUGCUUACGCUGUUAGUUUUGAAUGCCAUAAAAAGUGCAAGUGUAAGCAUUAUACAGACUGUCAGUGGUAAGACUUGCCUCUUUCACAGCAGUGGGGAAAUGUGCCACAGCUCUGGAGUAGGCACAAAGCCUCUCUUCUAUGCCUUCAUCAAACAUAAGCCCCCGCUCUGCAGCUGCAGCAGAUGCUAAUUCCGCUAUCAGGCUGGAAACCUGCAAAAGAAAAGCACAAAUGGAACUUUUGCAUUGGAAGAGUGACUGUUGUUCUCGGACAGAAAAUGGUUAAGCUCAAUUCUGGAGCAAAGAAAUGGUCAGAAUUUUUCUAGCAAAGUAACAAACAAUGCCAUUUGUUGAAUAAGAUGUAUUAACAUUGUUUUUUAACGAAAAAUGUCUUCUCAUCGUAACGCACGUGAAGGGAAAAUAACUAUACUGCACAACAUUGCACACCUUCAUUGCUUUUCAACCUUUGAAUAUUACCUCGGAUCGAUAUUCUUUUUCAACCACACCAACCGUAGCCCCUGGAUGACGAGCUCCAACAAGCAUGAAAGCUGAAAUCCAUAUCAACUUUUCUAGCAUUUGCUUCUGAAAGGCUUCCUUUUCAAGCACCUAGUUGCCAGGGUGAAACACAAUUACCACCAAUAUACAAAUCCAAAUGCUAGAAAAUGACAUGAGAGAGUGAAUGCUAGAGAAUCAACCAAUGCAUAAAAAGGACAUGAUGAAAUAAAUAAAUAAAUAUUUGCCCGAGAAAGAGUUUGGAAAAAUUACAUUCCUAUAAUUUGAACCCAAAAUAGAAAAGUUAACCAUGGGCUCAAGUGCUGAACGCCAACUUAAGCUAGAAUGUAGACAUCAGAGAAAACUGCUAAACAGCGAGAAUGAGUUAGACCUGUUAAACUCAAGAAAUGAUUACUGCCAUUAUCAAGUAUAUCAAUGAGUUAGACCUAUUAAACCUCAUGUAUUUGUAUAUGAUCAAGCUGAAGAGAGAAAAACGUGAAUCUAUUGACAAAGGAAACACCGAAUUGCACACUGUAAGCAUCAUCUAUGAUAAAUGAAGUGCUGAAGAAAAGAAAAAACACCUUGCAGGUAAGCCCGCCAUUUUGCAGGCGAGCAGCCACCGCUGGAGCCCAGCUGCCAAACGCAGCGGUCAGCCCCUCCGGGUUGGUGUCAGUGAUCCCGUCGAUGGGUGGCUCUCCAACCUUGGACACGGCGAAGUACGCCAACACCUGGUUCGCUCCCACCAGCCCCUUGCUCUCGAACCACGGAUCCAGCAUCCCGUUCUGGAAGAACACCAAAUCUGCUCCAAUAUUAGCUCAUAGAGCUCCCUCCCACCCAACACGCAGCAUCACCACAAGUAAUUUCGACGGCACAGAAUUAAUUAGCUAGUGAUCGUCAUCAUGUUCAUACCGCGCCACCGCGAUUUGGGGGUGGCCUCGAGCACGCCGUCGAGGUCGUCGUUGCGGGUGCACACCAGUAUGGGCCCAGCGGGCGCGCCGUCGGGGACCUUCUCGCCGCGGCCCACCAGCACGUCCCCGCCGAGCGGCCCCAUGCCGAGCAGCGCCUGCCCCACGCGCCCGCCGCCCACCACCACCGCCGGCUGCACCGCGGUGGCCAUCGCUGCGGAAGCCCUGAGAACCCUAGAAGCGACCGCCCUCGAGGAGGAUGGGGAGAGGAGGCGGCGGCGGAGUGGAGGUAGCGGAGUGACGGCGGUGGGGACGGAGACGGAGACGGCGGCUGUGAGGGCCAUUCCGACAAGUGGGGGUGGGAGGUAGCAGUGGGGCGGAGUGACGGCGUUUGCUUAAGGGAUGACGGAUGCCGUUAGGCAGGCCUUAAAGGGGCCACCCAGCCACCCGAUCUGGAUGGGCUUAUCUGCAGUUCUGCAUGGUUUGUGGCUGACAUAGGAUGGGCUCUAAUGGGCCAAUGGGCCUUUCGAGGGGCUUUCCUAGUGACUUGCGACCGCUCCAAACCUCAAACACGGUGCUCGCCGCUCCGUGCACACCAGCUGUUUCCGCAUCAGACUUGACGACAAUGCCGAAGUAUACGGGGUACUUGGUUUCCGUGAAAUUGAGCUUUUCAACUUGGCUUUGUUUUUUUAAUCGGAAUCCGAAAUACUUCGUCUAUUAAUUAAGAGAAAUAGAAUUGUUGAGUUAACUAACGGAAAACCGUAACUUGGGUUUGUUGACACACGUCGGGCGAAUGCCGGUGAAUCCUAAUUCGUUGAGCGCCUGUAUUCUCAGGUCAGUAUAUUUCCUGCAAAGUGUCCUCAUGCGUGCGAGCUUGGGCAGGCGGCCUUCCCAGAUUUGGCGUGCCAUUAUUCAAGGACGGGAUAUGCUUAAGCUGAUCCGUAGGAUUGGAGACGUACGGGAACACUACUGAUGUCUGGCAUGAUAAGUGGAUACCAAGAGAUGAACGGCUCUGACCGUAUGUUGCUGUACGUUCGGCCUGACUAUAAGACACGAGAGAGAUGGAGUGACUCAACACUUGGAUUGUAUUGAUGAACACAAAGGGUAUAAAUACAUGUACAGAUGCCUUCGGCAGAGCAGCUAACUCCUACAAUCUAGCCAACAAACUACUGGAUAAGCUGCCAAUGAACUACUAGAUAAGCUAGAGACGUUGGGAUAGACUAAGUCAGCUAACCAAUACUAACAGUUUAUACACACACGUGCAAGACCAAGUCACGUUACUAACACCCCUCGGCAGUCACAGCAUCGGGAUGAAGAAUGCUGAGACUGGAGCAUAGAGUAUCAAACACCGCCGUGGGCAGGCCUUUCGUCAUGAUGUCCGCGAGUUGUUGUGUCGUGGGAACAUGAGUGACUCGAACCUGGCCGAUGGCCACCUUCUCCUGGACGAAGUGUACAUCGAGCUCAAUGUUCUUCGUUCGUUUGUGAUGGACAGGGUUGGCGGCAAGGUAGACGGCGGAGACGUUGUCGCAGAACACAGCAGUGGCCGUGCGGAUGUCGCAGUGCAGCUCGCCCAGAAGUUGUCGAAGCCAAGUACACUCGGCAACAACAUUUGCCACGGCACAGUACUCCGCUUCCGCACUGGAGCGGGAGACGGUGGCCUGUCGUUUGGACGACCAGGACACAAGCGAGCCGCCAAGGAAGACGCAGUAGCCUGAGAUAGACCGCCGCGUGUCUGGGCAGCCGGCCCAAUCUGCGUCGGAGUAGACGGUGAUGUCGACGGUGGACGACGCCCGGAGCUGCAGACCAAGUGAGGUAGUUCCUCGAAUGUACCGAAGAACUCACUUCACCAAUUGCCAAUGAGCGUCCGUCGGCGAGUGCAUGUGGAGACACACUUGAUGAACGGCGUAGGCAAUGUCAGGCCGUGUCAUCGUCAAGUACUGUAGGGCACCGACGAUGCUACGAUAGCCUGAGGGAUCGGCAUAGGGAGUACCAUCGGUCGAGGACGACUUGGGCUUGGUGUCGACGGGCGUACCGGCAGGCGUGCAGUUGCACAUGGAGGCAUGGUCCAGUAGCUCCUCGGCGUAGUAUUCCUGUGACAGGAAAAAUACGGCGGCUGUCCGAGUUACCUGAAUCCCAAGAAAGAGAUGAAGCGGUCCUAAGUCCUUCAUUGAGAACUCAGAACUCAGGCUGGUGAUGAUGUGUCGGAGCAGUCGUUCAGUGGACGUCGUCAGGACGAUGUCCUCAACGUAGAGCAGCAGGUACGCGGCGUCGAUGCCGUGACGAAGCACGAACAGCGACGGGUCGGAGGUGGUGGCAACAAAACCUGUAGAUCGAAGGAAGGUGGCGAUGCGAGUGUACCAAGCCCUUGGGGCCUGCUUCAGUCCGUACAGAGACUUGGAGAGGAGGCACACAUGAUCGGGCUUCGAUGGAUCGACAAAUCCCGUCGGCUGCUGUGAGUAGACACGCUCGGACAAGAUGCCAUGCAAGAAGGCAUUCUUCACGUCGAGCUGGUGGACAGGCCAUGCACGAGCAGCAGCGAGAUCGAGCACAGUGCGGAUCGUGGCGUACUUAACCAUCGGAGAGAACGUAUCGCCGAAGUCGACUCCGGGGCGCUGAGAAAACCCGCGGACGACCCAACGCGCCUUGUAGCGCUCGAGGGAGCCGUCAGGUCGAGUCUUGUGGCAAAAAAUCCACUUGCCGGAAACGAGGUUCGCGCCGUGCGGUCGUGGAACUAAGGUCCAAGUGUUGUUGUUGAUGAGGGCGUCAUAUUCUUCCUGCAUAGCAGCAUGCCAGUGCGCGUCGCGAAGGGUGGCACGAGCUGACGACAGAAUUGGUGAAGGUGUGGUCGAUGCAGUGCAGUCGAACAAGCGCUUGGGGAGGAAGAUGUUGUUCUGUGCACGAGUGACCAUGCGAUGCACCGGCGCUAGCGGCACAAUGGGCAGGAUGCUUGAGGACGUUGGCGUGGACGGCGAUGGCAUGGUCGGCGAUGGCGUAGACGGCGAUGGCGUGGGCGCGGUGUCGAUGCCGGAGGUGGGUGGCGCGGGCCGGUCGGCGGACGGUACGAAGCCACCGGAAGACGGGCGCGCGCCGGACGAAUGCAUCGAGGGCAUGUCAGACGCGGGAGAGGUGCCUGCAGGGCACACCGUGGCUGCAGCUGGGCGCGAUGGAGAGGCCGGAGGAGCAGCACGUACGGGACCCAGUGAGAGGAUCGCCCGGUCGAAGGACGCGGCGUCGUCGGCUGGUGUCGGAGCUGGCGUCGGCUGGGCGUUCACCUGUGCAAAAGGAAAAACGUCCUCGUGGAAAUGAACAUGCCGAGAGGUUAGCACACGACGAGAAACCGGGUCAAAACACCUGUAUCCGCGGUGAUCUGCAGAGUAACCAAGAAACACACAAGAAACUGAACGAGGCAUCAGUUUGUUCCUAGAAGUAGCAAUAGUGUUAGGAAAACACAAGCAUCCAAAAACACGCAAAUGACAGUAUGGAGGAGGAAUGCCAAAAAGAAGCUCGUAGGGAGUGUGCAUUUGACGAGGUUUGCAUGGCCGAAGAUUGAGCAGGAGGGUAGACGUGGCAAGAGCAUCAGCCCAGAAUUUUGGUGGCAUGUAGGCUUAAAAGAGGAGAGUGCGCAUGCCGUCGUUGCGGGUCCGGAGGAUGCGCUCCGCCUUGCCGUUCUGUUGCGAGGUGUACGGACACGAGAGGCGAAGGUGGAUGCCGUGUCGCGAGAGAAAAGAGCGGAGGGCGGCGUUGUCAAAUUCCUUGCCGUUGUCAGUUUGAAGUGCAAGAAUGCGCAGACGAAACUGAGUAGCAACAUACGCGUGGAAGGAGAGGAGGGAAGGAAGAGCAUCAGAUUUACAGCGCAGGAGAAAAGUCCACACAAAAUGUGAGUAAUCAUCAAGUAUAACUAAAUAAUAAGUAAAUCCUGAGGAGCUCACAACAUGCGAGGUCCAAACAUCACAAUGAAUCAACUGAAAAGGAAAGGAAGUGAUAGUAGUAGAUUGCUGAAAUGGAAAUCUAGUGUGUUUGCCUAAGCGACAAGCAGUACAGUGGUGAGAGGCUUCACUGUCUUUAAUACAGGAAAAGGGGAAUGAACGAAUAAUGUGAGCUAAAGAAGCAUCUCCUAGGUGACCAAGGCGACGAUGCCACAAGCUGACAGAGGUGGCAGUGAAGGCGGCAUGACAAGGACGAGCUCCAGGGGAUGACCGAACCGGGUACAGAUCGCCGGGGCUGUUACUUCGCAGAAUCGCCGCCCUGGAAUGCAGAUCCUUUACAGAGAAACCAGCCGGGUCAAACUCAACAGAAACGUUGUUAUCUCGUGAGAGAGUUCGUACAGAAAGUAAGUUCUUAACGAGGUUAGGAGAGACAAGUACAUUACGAAGAUAAAGAGGACGAGCAGAAGUAGAAAUAGAGGCAGUGCCAAUUGCAGUAAUAGGAAGAUGAGCACCAUUACCUACUGUAAUUUGAGACGAGGUAGAGUAAGGGGAGAAGGAGGAGAGGUUACUUGUGCUGGAUGUCAUGUGCGACGAGGCGCCCGUGUCAAGGAACCAGUCGCCGCUGCCGCCGCCGUUGUUCUGGAGCGACAUCUGUUGCAUGGCCGCCAUGAAGUUGGGAUCCAGAGCAGGAGCCGUGGGCGUCGCCGAGCUGAAGGAUGGCGCCAUCAUGGAGGUGUUGGCGUUGUAGGCUUGCGGAGCAGUGGGCGCCAUGGGUGGCCGGGGACCGAGGACGCCAGCGCCGGGCACACGCGGUGUCUGUUGCCAGGCCUGAAAGGUGCCAGACCACGGGUUGACGCCGUGUGGCCAGGAUGGUGCGGCAGGCGAGUUGGGGAAGCGCGAGCCGCCGCCGGCUGGAGAGGUCGACGCAGUCUUGCGCUUCUUGUUCUUCUUGUUGCUGCUGGAAGGAGAGCCCUGUGGGGACGCAGGUGCCGGUGCGCCGGAGCGGUCGACGAAGAAGGCGGCGGCAGCUUGACGACGCAUGGCUUGCUCCUGGCGAUGCUCCUCGAGCAGCAAAUACGAACGGGCGCGCAUGAAGGAUGGCAGUGGCUGCUGCAUGGUGAGCACCGGGAUGGCGUGGCCGAGAGAAGGGUUGAGACCACGGAGCAUGUUGAAGAGCAUGGACUGGUCGGAGACCUGAAUGUCGACGUCACGCAGGCCGUCGGCGAGGACCUUGAGGCGCGAGUAGUACUCCGUGACAGAGAGGUGGCCCUGCUGCAGACUGCGGAACUCCUCCUCCAUGUAGACGGCCUGAGUCAUCAUGUUGUCCAGAAAAAGACUUGAGAGUUUUGUCCAUACCACGAAAGCCGGAUCGUGCGGCGCGAGGAUGAUGUCGAGGAUCUCCUCGCUGAUGGUGGUGUAGAGCCAGGACACAAUGGUGAGGUCGGCCUUCAUCCAUUCGGCGUCCUCAAGCUUGUGGUCAGCGCUGGCAACGAGGUGCUCCUCGAGGCCGUUCCGGCCGAUGACCUUCAUGAAGAGGGUGCUCCACCGGCCAUAGUUGUUUCGCUUGAGGUCGAGGGCGGUGAGGACGUGCUCCUUGAUGCGGAUAUGCUGCAGAGAGGCAGCCGUCACCGGGAUGGUGCCCGCAUCACGGACGACGGACAUGGCGGCCACAUCAUCAUCGAAGAGAGCACGGGCAGUGGGGAGAGGUGCCAUGGGCGAGCUCAGGGAGACGCCUGGGCUUGUGCCGGCGCCGAGGGCAGCGGCGAUGCUUACAGGCUGUGGAGUGGAGCCAGGAGGGAGGAUAGUAGGCGACACAAGAGCGGCAGUUGAAGCUGUGAGUGCGCCGGCUGCCGUGGAGGUCAGAGGGAGGCUGGUGUCAGGGUUUGCCAUGAGGGCAGCGGAAGCGAGUGCGGUCUCAGAGACGUCGAGAUCUGAUACCAUGUAAGACACGAGAGAGAUGGAGUGUCUCAACACUUGGAUUGUAUUGAUGAACACAAGGAGUAUAAAUACAUGUACAAAUGCCUUCGGCAGAACAGCUAACUCUUACAAUCUAGCCAACAAACUACUGGAUAAGCUGCCAACGAACUACUAGAUAAGCUAGAGACGUUAGGAUAAACUAAGUCAGCUAACCAAUACUAACGGCUUGUACACACACGUGCAAAACCAAGUCACGUUAUCACGAAGCACCUGUCAUAGUUUCUGAAUUGAUAGAUCAGACGACGGCAACUGACGAUGGCAUCCGUGGCCAAGUCCAUGCACGCCAAGCCUUUGCAGCCACGCGUUGGCUGAGCCCACACGCGCACGACUCGGUUCCAUGCAAUGGUGGAAGUUCACGCCGAGCCCAAGCGUGUGCCGACGGAGGCGAGCGUUGUCUUGGGAAGGAGGAGAGGCGCUGUUGGUGGAUUAGGAAAUAGGAGAGGCGACGUUGCCUUAUUGGGUUGCCGGGAUGGGAAGGAGAAUUAAAGACUGAUUGGACGGGUGGGUACAAUCAGGGGCUAGCUUUUGGGAAGGCCGCUUGAGAAAGGGGAGCGCGCCUGCUUGUCUAUGGAACAAUUAGAAAAACUAACAAAAUAGUAUUCUGAUUAAUUCUUAUGACACAUAAUUUAAUAACUAUUGGCAAAUAGUAUAUCGAUGCCAGACUUGGCCCUGAGUUACUUGCAGGCCGUCACUGUACAAGGAGUUUCAUCCACAUAUCCAAGAGCAAAUAGAAACUAUAAAUCUGAAUGCUUAAUAAUCUAUACAACCUAUAAAUUUAUGAUGAAAUGCUACAACCAUGGGUGAUGGGUGAAAGUAAGCUUCAGAAGUGGAGGUGCAAACUUGGAUAUAUCUAAACAAAGAUUGUAGUAUUGCACAAUAAUUUUCCGUGUGCUGAAAAGACUUUGUUCCUAUAAAAAGAAACGAUGCUCCUUGAUAAGAUGCCUACACAAAACUGAAGGAAAACUAAGGGGAACACCGAUUAUCAUAUUUUAAUAAUAACAUUAAGUAAAUAAAUGCAGAAAUCAACAGUUUGUUGGCAAUGUAGGCUACUAAAUGUGUUUGACUUGAUCAGACCUGCAAUAUCAACAAUAAAAAAAUAUAUACUACACACUCAGAUAUGCUAGGAGAAGUUAAUAAAAAUAUCAGGUCUGCUCUGACAUCAUAACCAAAGCAUGUACAUGUAGGGGUUAGCUAAAUCAGGCUACAUAAGUAAAAUAGGAAAAAAAAUGUUACUUGAUGAAGACAACUAUCUCGAGAUUCAUGCAAUUUCGCUAAGGGAUAAAAUCCCAUAAUUGGUAUCCACUGCUAUUUGGGAAAGAAAUUAAGGAAUUAAAAACAUAUCUACAAACAUAUCUUAUACUCCCUCCGUCUCAUAUUAAGUGCCGAAAUAUUACAUGUAUAUAAGCGUUUUUUAGUUAUAGAUACAUCCAUAUUUGGACAAAUUUUAGUCACUUAAUAUUAGAUGGAGGGAGUAAAUCAUAAUUAUACAUGUUGUUUGCCCCUCUCUUUUUUGCGCUUUUGUCCCAAAUCCCAACCCCUGAACAAAUGGAGGGAGUAAAUCAUAAUUAUACAUGUUGUUUGCCCCUCUUUUUUUUGCGCUUUUGUCCCAAAUCCCAACCCCUGAACAAAAGGCUGCAGACAAUAAACAUAGCACAUUGUUCAUAUUUCAUAUUAACAAUAUGAAAGACCAAUAGGAUAUGAAGGAAAGAAAACAAGGAGUCCAUCAGGUACAAUACGGGCAAACAUGGUUUAUGAUUUGCUGACUACAUCUAAAUUAAAGUAUCUCUUUUACUUCUGCUAAUUCUGAGAAUGCAACACCAAGCAAGGCAUUACUUAUCCCGGUAACUUCUCUAAUUCAGUCAAAUACAGUAAACUCCUACUUAUAUACCUUACAAAGCACAAAAACAAAUUUACAAUCUGGGUCUUCUUAAUUCAGCUGCCUGCUACAAUCUAUAAUCCGUUGUUAACAUCAGCUAUUUGAGACAAUUUCAGAUUUCAGAGAAAAAAAAACAAAGAGGCAGGUGCCCACGUUGCCUUCAGGUCGCUGCAGUGCUGAUCUCUCUGGCGUGAGCUGCUGCUGCGGCGGGGGCUCGGGGGGCGCAAUGGGUGGCGGGAAGUCUUGCGAGCAGGGGAAGGAAGGAACAGGAGGUCGGGGGAGAGGGCGCCGGUGACCGGAGAGGAAGGGGGCUGCGGCAGCGAGAUGGAGCAGGUUGGAGUGUUGGCAAGGGGAUCGAGCAGGUUGGACGCUGGGGGCGUUGGGGAUUCGGGGUUGAGACUUGAGACUUGAGAGGAUCGUGGGGGAGAGGGAAAUAAUGGGCGGUGGCAUAUUGGCCGUAAUUUUGAUGACAUGACGUACCGCGACCGUACCAUCAACACCAACUUUAAUUUAAUAUAUUGGUAUAGAUUCAUUUCGUCCGUAGAAAGACGCCCAAACACGGGCGAAGACGCAUGGACGAACAACGGGCUUCCUUUAUUAUUAGAAAGGUAGAUAGAUUGUACUAAAUUCAUGCCAAUUAAUAUGAAAGUGGAACAGAGGGAGUAAUUGGUAGUACCUUUGGACGCUAGACGAACCUGCACGUCUGCAGAAACCAUAUAUAUCAGAAAAGAAAGAAAUUCUAUAGGUUUCGUCUGCCCCUUUCUUUCUAUUGGUAUAACUGGUAUGUCUCCAUUUCUUUUUGAACAUAUAUGUACGGCAUCAACAGUUUAUGUUUUCUGUGUCGAGGACAUGUAGUCACUGAGAUUAUGCAGAGAUUCAGCAGAAGAGCGGUAUCUUCCCUUUUAAAAAAAAGUGGAGCAAUGUCUUCAGUUCAGGAGUUCAGAAAAUGGGUUUUGAGUUCCUUCUUACACUUUUUUGAGGGAAGGUUUUGAGUUCCUUGUGCUUUGGGGGCAUGCGGCGAUCCCGGGCCCCAUUGAAGGCCACCGUCUACGUUUUAUCGGAGGUUUGGAUGUCAAAUUCGUGAGGGAAAAGUAAGCUAACGGAAAACCUUUCGCAGAACCACACUUUUUGAAUCAAGUUGUCUUAGUCAGCCCGAAACCGGGUGGUUUCGCGGUUUUGCUUGAUUUUUUACCGGAUGAGCCCACCUGUCCGACGCCACUUCGGCCCCGAAAACUUGCGGGGGUGAGAAGGGGGCUGGGGGUUUAAUCACGGGCUAACGGGUCAGCUCGGCUUGGGGCCGGCGUGGCGUACAACAGAUGGACCCACCUGUAAGAAAUCAAGCAAAACCGCCAAACCACUCGCUUUCGGGCUGACUGAGACAACUUUACUAAAAAUAUGUGGUUCUGUGAACGGUUUUCAGUUAAAUGUGGUUCAACGACACGACUGGCACAAAAACUGUGGUUCUGCGAUAUGUAAGUAAGAUGUAGCUGUCUUGCAUAUGUAUUUGUUAGAUCAACCGUGUGACUCCCAAGUCCCAACCCAAAUAUGUCGAAGUAAGGAAAUGCUGACAUUGUAAAAGCAACCAGUAUACCAAGGGAGCUCUCAAAGCUGAUCUAGCGCGGGGUGAAGCUGAUGGAGAUGGGGCUCCUGACGGUGUGCCUAGCAGACACCCAGAGGAGCGCGGCCUUUGUCGGCGCGGGGCUGGUCUCCGCCGACAAGGACCACACAAGCACGGUGAAGUUCUGCACCGGGCUUGCCUCGCUGAACGAAAGCACGCUCGGCGAAACGGUGACGUUCACCGAGCCGCCUGCCGGCACCUCGAUCACGGCCUGGUACUCCGCUGGUGACUCUCCGACGAGCUUCACCGUGCGCUUAACAAUCAUCGGAGCCAACGCUGUACGGUUCACCGGGAACGUGACCGCGAUGGACGGGUAGUUCAACUGGCUCUGCGGGAUCACCGUGACCGUGGAGCAGUUCACCACUGUGCGCGCGAUCACCGAGACCUCCUGGUCCGUGUACAUGCCGCAGAGGUAUCCGAUGUACUCAGUCGGCGCAAUAUCGUAGAUGAGCCCGGGGUCUACCGCCUUCUCUGGGUUGACGUGGCCGGCUCCGACGGCGAAGAGAUCGGCGAUAUUGUGCUGCUCGUCGAGUAUCGCCUCGCCGGAGCGGUCGUUGACAUCGGCGGUCGUCAUGAUGGCGGACUUGAUCGCCGCCGGAGACCAGUCCGGGUGCUUGCUCUUGAUCAGCGCAGCGAUGCCGGCGAGGUGCGGCGUGGACAUGGAUGUGCCGGAGAUGAUGUUGUAGGUAGGCCUGGGGUCGAAUGCUGGUGGGCCGACUUGGAAUGGCCAGGCGGCAAGUACAUUCACACCAGGGCCCGUGAUGUCAGGCUUCAGGAUUCCUGGGUUCUGGGUGCUGGGCCCACGAGAGGAGAAUGACGUGAUUGCCGGUGCCGGCGACGUGCCGAGCACCGUGCCUUUGAAGGCGAUCUGCGCCGUCGGGUUUGCCGUGGAGUUGAUGUAGGUCUUGAUCAGCUCCCCGGCGGCAUAGCUGACUUGGGACGUGGGGAGCACAUACACGUCGGCGAAUGUGCUGUAACCGUCAAGGAUUUGGUUGGCCAAGAUCAUGCCGGUGCCUCCGGCUCUCAGCACCUCGGCGUCGGCGUCGCCGCCGAAGCCGCCGAGAUCGCAGAGCACGAUCUUACCCUUGACGUCAAAGCCGUCCAGUGAGCCUUUGCCACAGAAUUGUGCACCGCGCGUCGGGCUCGCACCAGCGUAGACUAGCCCAACUGUCGCCGUUGUGUUGGGCUGCAAGAUUGACUCACCAUCGACUCACCAUCGAAGGAGGCGUUGUUUCCGAGGAUCACCUUGGCGAGGAUCAAACGGUCCAUGGUGCUUGCAGCCACGGUGAGCAUCCAUGGAGCCUCGUUCGACAACGUGGAGUGGAUGGGGCCAGAGUUGCCGGCUGCCAUGCUGAUGAAGAUCCCCUUCUGCGCGGCAGCGAACGUGCCGAUGGCGAUGCUGUCAUUGAAGAAGGGCACAGAAUCCCCACCGAGCGACAUGGAUAUGACAUCGCAGCCGUCGGACACGGCUGCGUCAAUGCCGGCGAGGAUGUCCACGCUAUCGCAGCCUUCGUCGGCGCAGACCUUGUACAUGGCGACGUGUGCGCGGGGAGCAAUUCCUGACGCGCUGCCGCUGCCCUGGCCAAGCACCUGAGCGCCUGGCACCAAUGCUCCCGCCGUGGUGCUGGAAGUGUGCGUGCCAUGUCCUACCUCGUCGGUGGGUGGUGCACGUGCACCGGGGGGAGAUGAGCCACCGCUGAGGAAAGUCUGAGCACCGAUAAGCUUGUUGUUGCAGGCGGAGCCGUUGAAGUCACACCGGCCCUUCCACUUGGCCGGUGGAGGAGGCAUGCCGACGCCGCUGAAGGAAGGGUGGUCGGGGAAGAUGCCGGUGUCGAGCACCCCGAUAAUGACGCCGUCGCCAGACCCUGCCGUGGCGUUCCUCCCGCCCUGCUGCGUGUCCAGCUCGAGGAACCUUGGCGUGUGCGUGGUCAGCACCUUGUAGACCACGUUGGGGACCGCGGCCACGAAGCCGGGCAUGGCGGCGAUCGCGGCGAGCUCACCGCAGGUGAGCCGGGCCGCGAAACCGCUGCCGACGUGGUGGUAUGCGUGGAGGAGACGGCCAUGGCCGUGCUCCGGGAGGAACGACUUGUACCACGUCUCCCGGGCGUCAGGCGUGGCGAACAGGUCCCCAUCCUGGGGCAGCACGUGGACGAGGUACGUGCUGAGCUCUUCGCUGCUGGUGGCGGCGGCUGCUAGGGCGAAGAUGAGGGGAGAAGGGAGACAAGCAUGGAGAGCUUGAAGCUUCCCAUUGCUAUCUUCAUGACGAUGAUCUGGUGUAGUAUUACGAAGUGUUCAUGCAGCAUGGGGCUUUAUAAGUAGUGCAAUGCGUUGCUCCCUGUUUAUAUUACACGUUCUUGUUAUGGCUGUAUGUAAUAGGCAGGCAUUGGUGUGACCGAGAUAAUGGAGCAUUUUGGAGCUAGCUGUGGAUCAAAUCGUUCGGGGAUGUUUACAAGGAAAAUCCAGCAAACGGUUAAGGAUUGUCGCUUGGGAAUUACCGUUCCGCAACUUCAACACAUGCACGACACUGGCAAGAAGAAAUCACAGCACAAGGACACACGGAUUUAACGUGAAAAACCCUCUCAAACAACGAGAGGGAAAAAACCACGUGCGCCAGUCAACAAAAUCUCACUAUAUGGAGAGUGUUUACAACGCGGGAAGGUUUUACAGAUGCAACUCGUGAGAACUCUGCCCAAAAUGACGGCAUACAAGGGAUAUAUAUCGCAGAAGCAUUAGGAUAACUUAGAUCCGUAACGGUCACACCGGAAGUUCCGGUUGGAGGCCGGAAGUUCUGCAUAUUCUUGAAUAUCCGGAAGUUCCGCAACAAGUUCCGCAAUUUCCUAAAAAGUAACAGAGAGUAUCCGGAGGUUCGGCCGGAAGUUAGGCCGGAAGUUCCGGCACCUGAAAUGGCCGGAAGUUUGGCCAGAACUUCCGGCCACUGGAAUUUGGAUCACAUCCAACAAACUCCACCUUGAAACAAUUUCCUCCUUAUAGCAUGAACAACAACAACUCCUGAAACAAAGAAAACACUUUCGGCGCCAACAACCACUAGGGCUAAACAGUUAUACCAACUAUACUUGAGCAUAGCUCAAACUUAGCAAUAGAAACAUGCUUUGUCAUCAUACAACAGGAUUAUCAUGAUUGCUGAUCUUGCAUACCUUCAAUUUAGCUUGUGCAACAACGUUCGAACAAAAUGGUACUUGACUUCAAUGUGCUUGGUUCUCUCAUGGAGUAUCUGAUACUUAGUAAGGUAAAUAGCACUUUGACUGUCACAAAACAGGUUAAUGCAAAAAACAUCUUGACAAAGCUCAGCAUAUAAAUGCUUCAACCAAACAGAUUCUUUGCAACCUUCAGCAAUAGCCAUAUAUUCUGCUUCAGUUGUAGAUUGAGCAACAACUGGUUGCAGUGUUGCCUUCCAACUCACAGCACAUCCACCUACCGUGAACACAUAACCUGUGAGGGAUCUUCUCUUAUCCAAGUCGGCAGCAAAAUCUGAAUCCACAUAACCAGCGAGUUCUUCAUCAGUCUUGCCAAACUUGAAGCAAGCAUUGGAUGUGCUACGGAGGUACCUGAAGAUCCACUGAACAGCUUUUCAAUGUUCUUUACCGGGAUUAGCCAUGUAACGGCUGACCAAACUCAUAGCAUAUGAUAAAUCCGGACGUGAAUAAACCAUGUCAUACAUCAAGGAACCAACAGAGCUAGAAUAGGGAACUCGUGACAUAUACUCAAUAUCUUCAUCAGAAGUAGGACAUUGCAACGCUGACAACAAGCAAUUGGAGUACUAACACACUUUGCAUCAUGCAUAUUAAAACGGUGAAAUACUUUCUCAAUGUAACUUUGCUGACUAAGAAAUAGCAACCUAAAUUUUCUAUCCCUUUUCAUUUUCAUACCUAGGAUUUUCUUAGCAGCACCAAGAUCCUUCAUCUCAAAUUCACUACUUAGUUGUGCCUUCAAAGUAGUGAUUACUUUCAUGCUCUUGGCAGCAAUUAAUAUAUCAUCAACAUAUAACAGCAAGUAUAUAGGUGAUCCAUCAACAAAUUUAAUGUACACACAACUGUCAUACUGAGAUCUAGUAAAGCCACGUGAGAUCAUAAAUGAAUCAAACCUUUUAUACCACUGUCUAGGAGAUUGUUUCAAACCAUAAAGGGACUUUUUCAACUUACACACAAAGUCCUCUUUACCAGGAACUAUGAACCCUUCAGGUUGGUCCAUGUAUAUUUCCUCCUCAAGCUCUUCAUGCAAAAAUGCAGUUUUCACAUCUAACUGCUCAAACUUAAGAUCAUGCAUAGCAACAAUACCAAAGAAAGUACGGAUGGAACUAUGCUUUACCACUGGAUAGAACACAUCAUUGUAAUCAAUACCUGAUAUUUGACUGAAACCUUUUGCCACUAACCUUGCCUUAAACCUCAUAGGCCCAUUAGGAGACAAACCCUCCUUUCUCUUGAAGAUCCACUUGCAGCGAACGGCCUUCUUUUGUUUAGGCAAGAACACAACAUCCCAUGUGUCAUUCUUUUCAAGAGAUUGCAUCUCCUCUUGCAUGGCAGACAACCACUUCACACGGUCGCCAGAAACAACAGCUUCAUUAUAUGUGGCCGGUUCACUAUCAUGCUCCACCUGUUCUGCACAACCCAAAGCAUAAUAAACAAGAUCACACUCUUCAAUUAAACGUGGGCGAGGACGUUUAUUCCUCUUUGGACGGUCAGCUGCAAUAGACCGUGUGGGUUGCUGCAAAACAGGUGGUGAGGGUGGAACAAUAUCAUCAUUAUUAUCAUCAUUGUUCUCAUCAUCAUUACCAUUAUCAACCUGAGCAUCAUCGUUGUCAACAAUUUCAUCAACGUGCUCCACCUGCACUCUAAGUCUCUCCUCUUCAAUGCGAGAGGCAUCAGUGAACAAAGUAUCAUGAUACAUAACUUUUUCAUUAAAGACAACAUUGCUGCUCAGCAAAAUCUUUUUAGCUUCAGGAUUCCACAACCUGAAAGCUUUAACUCCAGAACCAUAGCCAAGAAAAAUGCACUUAACAGUUCUAAACUCUAGCUUUCCAUUAUCAACGUGAGCAUAAGCGGUGCAACCGAAAACUCUCAACUGUGAAUAAUCAGCAGGUUUACCAGACCAUAUCUCAAUGGGAGUUUUCUUGUCAAGUGGAAUAGAAGGUGACCUGUUUAUGAGGUAGCAUGCGGUGGAAGCUGCAUCAGCCCAAAAACGCCUGCCCAAACCUGCAUUGGACAGCAUGCAACGGGCCCUCGAUAUGAUGGUUCUGUUCAUGCGCUCAGCCACGCCAUUUUGUUGUGGAGUACGGGCAACCGUGUAGUGCCUAACCACACCAUCAUUACUGCAAAACUCCUCAAACUCAUCAAAAAUAAAUUCACCACCAUUAUCAGUACGCAAAUUUUUUACCUUCCUUUCAGUUUGCUUUUCUACCAUAGCUUUCCACUUCUUAAAAGCACCAAAAACAUCAGAUUUGUGUUUCAGAAAAUAAGGCCAAACUUUUCUUGAGUAAUCAUCAAUAAUGGUAAGCAUGAAAUUAGCACCACCAAUAGAUGUCUUACGGGAGGAUCCCCAAACAUCAGCAUGCACAUAAUCUGAUAUGCCUUUGGUGUGGUAUGAACGGAACAAAUGAACUUAACCCUUUUGUGCUUACAAUAAACACAGUGCUCACAAAACUCAAGCUUACUCAAGUUGCAGCCAUCGAUGAGCUCUCUCUUGACCAACUCUGCCAUCCCAUGUUCACUCAUAUGCCCAAGACGCAUAUACCAUAGAUUCGUUUUUGCACAAUCAUUAGAAUCAUUAGGUGUAACGGCAGCAGCAAAACCAGGCAAAGUGCUACCUCUAAGAACAUAUAAUUUGGCAGAAUUCAUAUCACCUAUCAUGUGAAUGAGAAAACCUCUACAUACCUUCAAAAGUCUACGCCCUCCGGCGUACUUGUACCCGCCACAAUCCAUGGUACUAAGUGAGAUCAAAUUUCUUGCCAUGCUUGGUAUGUGCUUCACCUCUUUCAACGUGCGUGUCAUGCCAUCAUGGGUCUUGAUCUGAACGGACCCAACGCCAACAAUAUGACAAGGAUUGUCAUUUCCCACACGCACAAAAUCUCCAGUCUGCACAGACUCACAAGAACUGAACCAAUCCUUGUUACAACAAAUAUGAAAGAAACAUGCUGUAUCAAGAAUCCAUUCAUCAUCAUGGGAAGCACAAGCAGCAAGAACAGCGAGGCAUUCACCGUCAGAGCUGUCGGUAGAAACGACAUCGGCCUUACCAUUACCAUCGGACUUGUCUUUCGGUUUGUAGGUACAGUUCCUUUUCUCCUUGUUCUGCAGUUUAUAACAAUCCUCAAUAACAUGAUUAUUUUUCUUACAAUACCUGCAGAUAUCUUUUCCUCGGGACUUUGAACGAGCUUUUCUGUCCCGGCUCUUAUCUCGGUUGUCAUAGUUGUUGUUCCUCUGCUCGAUCCAGCCACGAACCUGCAGAGCUUCUGCCUUUGACGACGACCCAUUGGUCUGCACCAUAGACUUCAUCUUUUCUUUCUGUCUAAGUGCUUCUAAAACCUCAUUAAGGGUUAGAGAUUCAUGGCUAUAAAGAAUUGAAUCGCGGAAAUUUGUAUAGGAACUAGGCAACGAGCAUAAGAGUAAGAUGGCUAGAUCCUCAUCAUCAUACUUAACCUCCAAAGCUUGCAAGUCAGAAACUACCUCUCGAAAAACAGUUAAAUGAGAUAUUACCGAUCCACCUUCUUGCAGCUUAUGGGUGAACAACUUCAUCUUUACACGCAUCUUACUGGUAAGAUCUUUAGACAUGCAGAUCGAUUCCAGUUUCAGCCACAGGGUUGUUGCGGAUUUCUCCUCCAACACUUUCUGCAAAAUAUUAUUGGAUAGAUGAAGUUGAAUCAAAUACAAAGCCUUACGAUCUUUGUGUUUCUCUUCAGCAGUCCACUCCUUUCCAUCCUUCUUGCCGAAGGAAUCAAGGGCUUCAUCCAGAUCUGAAGUUUGGACGAGAAUCGCCUGCAUCUUCACUUGCCACAACGAGAAUCGUGUGGUCUAGUCCAGCUGCGGCAGAUCGAACUUCAAGGUAGACAUGUCGCAAACCCUAAGCGGAACCUGGGGCUCUGAUACCACUUGUUAUGAACGCCACAAGCAAGAACGAAGAACGAAGAAGAAAUCAUGGCACAAGGACACACAGAUUUAACAUGGAGAACCCUCUCAAACAACGAGAGGGAAAAAAGAACCACGGGCGCCAUACAGGGAUAUAUAACGCCAGGAAGGUUCUACAGAUUCAACUCGUGAGAACUCUGCCCAAAACGGCGCCAUACAGGGAUAUAUAUAGCAGGAGCAUUAGGGCAACUCAGAUCCGUAACGGUCACACCGAAAGUUCCGGUUGGAGGCCGGAAGUUCCGCAUAUUCUUGAAUAUCCGGAAGUUUCGCAGCAAGUUCCGCAAUUUCUUGAAAAGUAACAGAGAGCAUCCGGAGGUUCGACCGGAAGUUGGGCCGGAAGUUCCGGCACCUGGAAUGGCCGGAAGUUGGUCUUCCGGCCACUGGAAUUUGGAUCACAUCCAACACAGACGAUAAAGCCUAGCUACAGAAGAGAGAUGGGCAAACAGGGAAACAUAUAUCCAGGGAAGGGAAAGCAUGGCUCGUUGGUCUUUCAUCUAGAGAGCUUCAUCUAUCGACCUGAUAGAGUGACAGUGGACAUUGCAUCACUGCUCGUAGCAUGUCUGAGGGAAAAUGUUUGGUGCCGUCCUUUUGCAUUAACUAAUACUACUAUGGAUGGACGGCUGCAGCAUUUCUAGUUUUUUUUUCAUUGGCGCUUGGUAAAAAAUAAAAACAAUAAGUUUCUUGUACUACUAUGGAUGGACGGCUGCAGCAUUUCUAGUGUUUUUUUCAUUGUCGGCGUGAUAAAAAAUAAAACAAUAAGUUUCUUGUUGGAAACGAUCCUCCGUUUUCGAAAUGCAUAGCGUUAUAGUUUCCAUUGACUGUCAAACAUUUUAAGUUUCGGGAAAUUUAUAGCAAAGCAAAAGAUAUCAAUAUAUACAUUAUCAAAAUCAAGGUACCAUGAAAAUAUAUUUCACAAGGGAUCUAAUUUUUUCAUUUGGCACCGCAGAUGUUUUGAUAUUAUAUUUUUUGUUGCAAAGUUGGUUAAACUUUAGAAAAUUUGAUAGUCAGCAAAUGGAAACUAGAAAUUGUUUUGUUUGGUACUAGAGUAUUGGGGUGUUUUCUUGGGUAUUAUCCACUCCAAAUUGAAAAACACUAGAAACACCAAAUGAUUGUUUGGUAGGAAGAGUUUCGAGGGGAUUUUUCCUAGUUUUCUCCCACAAAGCACUCCAUUUUUGUACCAAAUUAAAACACUUCUCGUACUAGUGUUUUUUUUUAUAAAAUACACUAACACCAAACAAGCCCAAGGCUUUGUUUGGCACUAAGGCCUCGUUUGGUGCUAGUGUAUUUUUUAGAAAAAAAAACACUACUCCCUGCGUUCCUAAUUAACUGACGUUGGCUAUUUUGCAAAGAAACCCUUGUAAUUUUUUAAAUAAACCUGCAAACCACAUCUUCAAUUAAACGUGGACUGUGCAUUGAUUUCAAAAAAACAUGGUUUUUUUCGAAAAAGUUCUGAUAAAACGUGGACUGCAGGUUUUUUCAAAAAUUUACAGGGGUUUCUUUGCAAAACAGCCAGUGCCAAUUAAUUAGGAACAGAGGGAGUACUAUGAGAAGUGUUUUAAUUUUGUUAAAAAAUGUAGUGUUUUGUGGGGGAAAUCUAGGGAGUUUCUACCAAACAAUCAAUUGGAGUUUCUAGUGUUUUUCAAUUUGGAAGUGGAUAAUACCUAGAAAACACACCAAAAAUUCUAGUACCAAACGAGGCCUUAGGCAUUGUUUGGAUGUAGGUAUUAAAGAGAGGAAUUGAAUUGAGAUGGGAAUUUCAAAUCUGUGUGGUAUUGGAAUUGGCCUCCAAUUCUAAAGCUAUUGUUUGGAUGUGCAUGGUAUUGGUUGUUGGAAUCAAAGGGUGGGAUCCAAUUCCAAAUCAUGUUUGGAUGUACAAACUAUGGAAUUGGCUAUUUUGUUGAGUUUGGAUAGUAUACUCUUGGCCACAUGUAUGGAAAAGAAUUGUGUGUAUAUUAGAAUGUUUAUAUAUUAAUUGUCGCGGAAAACAAAAUAGAAAUAUUCUGAAAAAGCUUAUCACAAGGACAUAAUUAUGAAGAUUGCGGAAAAAGCAUAUAAAACAUGACAUCAAUAUUUCAGAUCAUGGAAAUUCUCUUACACAUAGCCAUUGACACAUAGCACAACUGGACAUUACAUAAGUAGCAAAAUACAUAAAUAGGACAGAUCAUAAUGAUUCUCUUACACAAAGGACAAUACAUAAGUAGCAAAAUAUCCAAAUAGUUCAGAUCAUGGAGAUUCUCUUGCACAUAAAUAGGAAAGUAUAUAGUAGUUCAGAUCAUGGAGAGCUCCAUCAUGAAAGAAACCAUCAAGGCAAGGUCAUGAGCCAUGCCUUCCUUAAGGUCAUGGGAAGCUCCAUGAGUGAUUCAACCAAGCGCUCACUAAUGGACAGCCUUCCGUAAGCUCUUAACAAAUCACAUUCUGCCAAAUCUGGUAUAGUUUGAAGUCCAGCAAGGAUUUCAGCUGAAGGAGUAACCUUUGGCAAAGUAAUUGGAUCGGUUGUCUUCAAAGCCUCUUGAAAUUCUGACUUCAUAUCUCCCAUCAUGCACAGGAUAGCAUCCCCAGUGCGUCGCCUCUUUUGGGGUACAUCCGGAGAUUCUUCGAGAACCUGUGUGUCUUGUUCUUCAACACACUGAGCUGCUGUCUUGGCACCUUCACCGGUCGCAUGGUCUUUUGAAUAGAUGGUGCUUGACAUAUUUAAACCACACAUCCUCAUUGUCGAUUGACAGCUUGUUGUUCUCCCAAUCCCAGCCAAAGACACUUUGAGCUGGUAUCUUGCUAAUGACCACAUAAUGCUUGUCAAAUGUAUUGCAUCUCGUUGUUAUGUUGUCCUUUGUGAUGUCCACCUGACAUGUCUCCUUUACAUGCCUAAUGCAAGCAUUGUACACAUGCGGCUUCCAACCAUUUUGAGCAUGAUCUCCAUUGUUGUGAUGCUCAACAAGGACGGCCAACAAUGUCGUGUCCAUGUCAGGAGUUCAUGUAAGGUAACCCCUACUACCUUUCUUUCCUUUUGCUUCAGCCAUGCGUCUAUAAUAAGUGAAAUAAAUAGAUGGGCAUAAAAGUAAGGACGUACAGAGCAGUAAAAUAAAGCAUAUAUAUUAAUUUGAUGAUGAUGCAUGUACAAAAUAUCACAAAAGGUGCCAUCACGAUCAGCUAUGCUAUCACAUAAAAGCCACCAUCAGGAAGGUACAACACAAAAAGGGGCACCAUCAGCUAGCUAUCUACUCCAUCACUAGCAAUCUACUCCAUCUCUAGUUCUGCAUGCCUCACAAGGUACUCAGCAUACAUGUCAUUAGCAAAUUGCUGCCUAAAGUUGGUCCAUUCAGUAGUGACUUGCACAGUUCUAAUGACCAUAGAAUCAUCUACAAGUUCAAUUGGCAUAGCUGCUAGUUCAGCAUCAACUUCCGGCAGCAAUAAAUUAUCCCUCAAGUGAUGCCUAUCCCUUGCAAAGUUGUGUAACACACAACAAGCAUUAAUAAUUCGGAUAUGCAAUAAUAUUAGUUCGUAUUCAGCACUUAUUAUUUAGAAUUAAUUUGCUUACUACCAUAUGGACAUUUUUUACCUGGUCGUCUAUGUCAAAAAAAGAUUGAGUACGUAGGAUGGCCCAUUUUUUCUUCCACAAGCCAAAAGUUCUCUCUACAACAUUUCUAGCACGAGAAUGACGCCAGUUAUACAACUCUUUGGCGGUUUGGGGCUGCUGUUGACUUGACACCCACUCUUUCAAGUGGUAUCGAGUGGAUCGGAAUGGAGAUAGAAAUCCAGGUCCAUUGGUGUAGCCAGCAUCAACUAAGUAGUAUUUUCCUAUUAUGAGGCACAUAAGUUAGCUAGCAAUAAAAUAUGAGAAAUAAAAUGCCAAGUGAAAGAGUCAUACCCUUAGGUACAACAAAUGCAUCUUGGCGAUUGAUUCUCAUAGAAUCGCGCAACACUCCCAAAUCAGAUGUUGAUCCCUCCCAACCAGGUGGAGCAUAGAGAAAUUUCAUGUUCCAAUCAACCACACCUAGCAUGUUAGUGGUGAUAGAUUGCUUUCAAUUCUUGUACCUCCCUUGGUCAGCAACAUCAACCAUAACAUCCACAUGACACCCGUCUAGUGCUCCAAGUGCAUUGCCAAACCAUUUCCAUUUGUAGUCAUUGGGAGGGGCGAUAGAAGGAUCAGGAAGCUUGAUGAACUCCUUAGUUAGAGAUAGGAUGGCUGAUAACAUCGUAGAGAAGUUGAAGAUCGAGUACGUCACAGAGGGGGGGGUGUGAAUGUGACCAGUUUUAAGUUUUCUUCAAAAUGAAGACUGAAAACUGAAGACAGUCACGGUGCUUCAACAACAAAGAUUUUACUUAGCAAUUUUAAAGUAGCAGCGGAAUGAAGAAAGAUGAACAAGUAACACAGUAGCAGUGAAGACAAGAAUAGUAAGAACAAUUAUACUUCAAUAGAAAGUAUGAGAUUGAGGAACGAUAUCACCAAAACACGAAAACACGGGGAUUUGUUUUCCGAAGUUCAGAUUGUUGGCACAAUUCUACGUCUCCGUUGAGGGGGCUGAGUCACACAAGACUCGCGGACACACAAGUCCACCCAAUCCUCCUAAGUUAAGACCUAAGUCUCGUCCAGUUACUCGUGGUAGAUCUUGAGGUGAUCUCCGGACCUUCACAGACUGGCUGAUGGCGAAUCGCAAGCUUCGAUUGCUCUUCAACACUGACUCCUAGCCAUCUAGGUGAUGCCAAUCACCAAGAGUAACAAGCUUCAAGUGCUCGGCUAGAGAGGGGAUCCCAUUCUUCACGCUCAGUUCAGCUCUAACGGUUUUCUCAGGUGUUCUUCAAAACAACUCUCUGGGGAUCACCACCAAACCCGUUCGAGGUGGGUCGUCUUAUAUAGCCUUGGCAACGGCCGAUCUAGCUGUUGUGACCCGUUGGAUAAAGUGAUCCCUGAGACUCCAACUCACACUUUAUCUCUUUGUUUCACAAUGGUUAGAUUGCGUGGUCUAAAGCGACAAAGAUUUUCAAACACAUUUGAAAUGAGAGUGAAGACUUCUCGCGGAAGUUUCACGGAAGCCUGAAAUGCUUCAUUCUUCACUCCGACGAAAAACACUCACACAGAAAAUGGUUUUCUCCUAAGCUAAACAUGAAGAAUAGGUUUCACCUGAACCAGCUCCACACUUCAAACCCCCCUUAAUAGUACGACAUUCCUAUACUCAAGUGAAGAAAACGCUACAGAAAGACUUAUGAAGAAAGUUACGCUUCACGUUCUUCUCCGUUCUUCACUGAGUUCUUCAUACUUCAAGCCCGUAACAUCCCAAAAUUUCAAACUUAUACAUGUGCAUUGCAUCCAUGAGCAUCAUGCCACAAUGGCAUAUUUGAAUCGGAAAAGGCUUUAAAAGUUUUUAUUUCAAUUUAAACCCUAGGGUUUUACACCCAUUUAAGCUUUGGAUUUUCAAACCAAUAAGGUUUAUUUAUAAAAGGGGUUUAUUGCAUAAAUGAGCUAUCCCAUAAUUUUUGGAUAAUUAUUUGGAGUUGAAAAAAAACUAUUUUAUUUAAAUAGUUAUAUAGCCCUAAAGGCAUUUAUAAGGCAAAUGUAUUUAUUUAUUUUUUUGAGGGGAAAUCUCUCCCAAAAGUUGAAUCAUGAUAAAACAUGAUUUUACAAAUUUUUUGGAAUUUAUUUGGACCAAUUUGGAGUUCAAAAUCAAAAGAUAUCACCUUUGACAAGCUCAAAGGCCACGGGAAACACUGGGUUGAAGAACACCAGCCCGUGCUGUGGUUCAUCCGGACAACACCUAGUCGGGCAACGGGCGAAACUCCUUUCGCCCUUGUCUACGGGGCAGAAGCGGUGGUGCCCCUCGGGCUCAAGCACGGAUCUCCCUGAGUACGCACGUACGGUGACACCAGCCAACAAGAGCAAAGGGUCGACGAUCUAAACUUCAUCGAUGAGCUUCGAUGCCGGGCUGCUGUGCGAGCCACGCACUACCAGCAGGGACUCCGUCGUUAUCACGACAGGCGAGUCCGCCCCCGGGGGCUCGAGAACGGAGACCUUGUCCUGCGCCCGGAUACAAGGAACGAAGGCUGGGAAAAAGUUGACUCCGAAAUGGGAGGGCCCCUUCCGGGUAGGGCAGGUGACUAGGCCGGGGGCUGUCUGACUGGAAACCGAAGACGGCUUGCCGGUGCCCAAUAGUUGGAAUACUGAGCACUUGCGCAAGUUCUACCCGUGAAGCGGCGGAGCCCGACCCUUAGGUGAUUCCGCCGAUGCAUACCUCUCGAACUAGUGUAGCCGGGCAACCCCCGUGUGUAAACCACUAGUUAUUGUGAAUAAAGAUAAGUGUUUCACCCCUGAGCUCUGAAUUUGCCUUGUUUAUUUGCGUGCUUCUCCCUCUUCUGUCUCCUGCUUUAAGUGCACAAAGGUGUCUUUCCAUACUUGGUCGUGAGCAGGGGCCGUUGGAGCCUCGAAAGCAUAAACCCGUUGCCGGACCGUUCCGGCACAGGACAUCCUUUUGCCGGGCCUCCCGCAACGUGCAUCACUGGACAUGCGGUUGCCGGGCUUUCCGCAACGCGCAUCACUGGACGUGCAGCUGCCGGGCACCCCGCAGCAUGCACCGCGCAGUCGCUGCGCCUGGGAAUUGACAUGCUCACAUCCAAGUCUGGCAUCGACCCCUUUGUGCUCGGGGGCUGGGAGGCAGGAGGGGUUUUCUCUGUGUUGCCUUGUGUAUUUUUGUAAAUUUCAAAAAAAAAUUGCAGCACCUCGGGCCUGGUAAGAAUCUAACCUGCAGGAAAGGGUGGAAAUUUGUGCACUGUGAUGCCCGUGGGCUGCCCACGGGUCCCACCAUGCACCGGUGCCUUGUGAUGCGGGAUGACCACAACGCAAGGGGUUCACCGAACUCCGAGGCUUCUGACUCGAGAGGGUGCCAUGUGUACCGCAGUCGCCUGGCAUGCGUGGUGGCGGAGACUGUACCACGUUCCGAGGGAGGGGUGCCACGGGUGCAGCGCAGGUCCGUCGCGCGCGGUGGCAAACCCCCUCCCGCGCCUAUAAAAGGCAUGCCCCAGCCAUAGAACGGCUCAGAGCGAAGCCGGGUCCGGGGCUGUUAAGGAGGGUGGUGCCAUGGAGGCGCGAUGGGGGUGCAUACCAUCGGCGCUUAGCGCCGACGGGUGCACUGCCAUCGCGCCCCUGCCGCAUCACCCCAUCGAGCCUGCCGCGCCCCCUCAGGCGGGUGGCUCCUGGGCGAGGGUCGCCGCGGAGGCACUGUGGUGGUGCAUCCCAUCAGCGUCCAGCGCUGACGGGGUGCAUUGCCGCAGUGCCCUUGCCGCGCCCCUCCAUAAGACACCUCCGUAAGGAGCAUGGGCUGCCGCGGAGGCUCUAUUGUAGUGCAUGCCAUCUGUGCCUUGUGCCGACGGGUGCACUAUCAUAGAGACCCGGCCGCAUUCCCCUUGAGAGAGCCUUUUUCGGGCGCGGGUCGUUGCGAGGACGCCGUGAUGGCGCCGGUGCCGGCGCCUGCCGCCCGCUCCGGCCCGUCACCGCGUCCCUGCCACGGCCCUCGAGCAGUUUUGCUCCCGGGCAACAAGGGCUGUCGCAUCCCUUGGGACGAGCUCCCCAGAAGAAACCAGGUCUCCCUAGUUGCGGGAGCUGUCGCCGGGAGGCUAUAACUACCUCGCCACCCGUGCCCGCGACUUGGUGGGGCGCAGCUGGCGGCGAGGACGUUAUAGCCGUCUUGCGGCUGCUCCCGGGGUGAAGUCCUCCUAAGCCAGGGUUCAUCCCUGAAGGCGAGGGUUGCCGCGUGAGCGUGGUGGGAGCAUCAUUGGCGGCGGAUGCCGCUGGCGGCGAUCCUGCCUCCGCGCUCCUGCCGCAUCCCUGAGGAACCGUUUCCCUUGAGCAGGUACCCGAGGAGGGUCCCUACCAAGGCAGUGCCCCAGCUGCACUUUACCGCCGAGCGUCAUGAGGCAUUGGACCGAACGGAAAAGCUAAGGGUCUGAACUUGAACGCUGAACUCGCUAAGAACUGAACAAAAUUGAGCUCUGUCUCGUUGGGUGUGGCCCCAGAUCCCGCACGUCGCCAGAGUGUUAAGGGAUGCUUGCGGGGGGAGUGCGCUCCCCGUGUGGCUUCGCGGGUUCGUCCCGGAGGGGCACGGCUUGAAGUAGUUACCCUGCAAGUAGAGUGGCUCCCCGCUACCGCUUGGCCCCAGGUCGACACCACGGGUCCGUUCCAGGUCCCUGGUCUGGUCAAGGGUGAGGCGUGCGCGAGUCCCCUGCAACACAAGGCGGAACACGCAAAGGCUAAAAGGGCCACCCCGCUAGACAGCGCCGGGAACAGUGAACAUGUCGAAAGACUUAAGUAACUAAGAAUUGGACGCUGCUUCGCCAAGUGUGGCCCCGGAACCUGCGCGUGGCCGGGGUGUGAGGAGGACGCUUGCGGGGGGGAGUGAGCUCCCCGUGUGGCUUCCGGGUCCGUCUCGGGAGGGCAUGGCUUGGAGUAGUUACCCCGCAAGUGGAGUGACUCGCCGACUACCGCUUGACCCCAGGUCGGCACUGCGGGUCCGUCCCGGGUCCCUGGUCCGGUCAAGGGUGAGGCGCGCGAGUCUCCGGCAACACAAGGCAGAACACACAAAGGCUAAAGAGGCCACCCCGCGAAGCAGCCCCGGGAACAAGGGACAAAAAUUGGGCGAAUUAAAAGCUUGAUUGACCGAGUGCUGAAUGAUUACAUGGACUAAUCAAGAGAUGAUUGUUCAAACGGCGUUAAGCACCAUACUUGCAGGAAAGCAUACUAGAGAAGAUACAUUGGGAGCAACGAGCACGGCUGCGGGCUGUGGCAACUAGUUGUCGCCGUCUUCGGCCGGGGGGUCAGCAGGGAGAUCAGGCUCCGGCUUCAUCUGCAUUCGCUCGACGACCUCGUCGAUGAACUCGGGCACUGCUUGGGUGUGCGUGGGCUCGUCCUCGCUGUCAGACCAAGCGUCCAGCAGGGACUCGAAGGGAAACUCCGGGUCCCGGAGAUGAAUCCGCGGGAGGAUUGUCCCGACAACCUCCCGGGUACAGUUGGCGACUUCGUUGGUGCCGUACUUGGCGAUCCAGACGUCGAGCGCCCCAAGCUUCCCCACAAGGUCAGAGAAGAAGGGAAUCAGCGUCGUGACGUCUGUCCCGUCCACCUCCGCCGCCUGCAGCUCGAACUUGGGCAGCAGAUCGCGCAGCGACUGGGCGAUCUUCGCCAGCUUCUCCGUCUCGAUCUGCCGCUGCCCGAUCAACGUGCCGUGAUGGAGUCGAGCCUCGUGCGCGGCCUUCUUGGCCUUGCGGACGUUGCCUUCCAUCGUCGCAAGCUCCACGGUCUUCACCGCGAUCUCGUUGUCGGCCUUGGCGAGCUCCUCCCGGACGGCAGCUAGCUCGGUCUCAAGCCUAACCGCUCUGUCCUUGGCAGAGUUGAGCUCGGCCUCGUGCCGAGCCGCCGCCACGCCGCGUCCUCGGUGGCCUUGACCUGCACCUUCAGCAUGACGCGGAGGCCUUAGAUUUCGCCACGGUAGUUGGCGAUCAGGACGCUCUUCUCGUCCAGCCGGGCCUGGGCCGCCGCGACCACCUCGGCGUGUUCCUUCCUGGUCGCCUCCAGGGUGGCCGACAUCGAGUCGAGCUUCCCUUGAAGCUCCGCGCGCUGGGCCUCCAGUUGCCGCUGGAGCUCAGCCUCCGGGACCACCAGCUCUCGGGCGUCCUCCAGGGCUUGCCGGGCCAGCCACGCCUCUUCUUCGGCAAGGCUUGUCUCCUCGCGCAGCCGGGACAGUUCGCGCCGCUCUCUCUCCACGGCCUCCCGCACCUCGCCGAGCUGAUUCUUGGCGGCGGUGUGGUGCUCCCUCACCUCCUUAAAGGAGGUGACACCUCCUUGAAGGAGGUGACGAAGGCCAAUUGUUGGUCCCUGACGGCGUCCAGGAACCGGUGCCCCUGCUCAAAGAUGCUCGGAUCCCAAGUAAGGGGUUCCAAGCGACCCCGGCAAGGGUGCCGAGGUCAGUACCGUGGAGAGCCGCCGAGGACGAUGAAGCCCCUGCUGCCGAUGCGGGGCUGUGCGCAGGGUCGCCAGCCUGCUCCCGAGGGUCUUGAUGUCCUUCCCCGGCAACUUCCCCUGCGCCUGCGCCCAGGGACCCCGGGGUUGGGGAGGCUUCCCUGCUCCCGGCGGGGGCCGUCCCCUGCUGGGCGGCAGGAGAGCCUGCGCCGGCUGCGCCCGCAGCUGCGGGCGCGUCACCGGGCACAGCCACGGCGGCGGUGGUGCCCACCGCUGCCGCUGUGUCCGCCGCAGCGGGACUGGGCGUGAGAGCCGGUUCCGGCUCCACCUCCGCCCCCACGGCCUCGACGACCGGGUCAAAAUUGAUCACGGCCGCGGCCGUUCUGGGUAUGGGCACACUUGUGCCUGCGACGAUGAGAAGCAUAAGGAUCAGCGAGUGAUGGAGCUAUCAAAGACAGACAAGAGUGACCAGGGUGGCUACCUUGCGCGGCCGCCGGGCUUGCCGGGGAAACCCCCCUGCCCCGCUUGUAUCGGCGGGAGUGCCUGAGAGGCCUGCCACGGGCGAGCUGCCUCUCCCUGCAGAAAAAAGGUAUGGUCAUGAGUUUGGCUAACAAAAAUUGCAAUUGCAGAGGAGUGACGAAGACAUACCAGCUGCCGGUCCUAGCUCCGUGGGGGCUGGGUCGCCAAGGGGCGCGCCCGUGUCGCUGCUGACACCUGCGACGAUGGGAUCGGCGGCGCCACUGGCAUCGGCGCGCGUCCUCUUGCUGGGCAUCCAGGGCGGGGAAUCGCUCCUCGCCCUCUUGCUGGCACCCGCCGGCGAGGAGGACUUCAGGGGGUUACGCUGGAGCGCGAAGCCCCGGAAGACCCCCCGAGCAGGUGGCGCUGUGGGCGCCCGCGGAGUCGUCGUAACCCGGAGAGCUCCGGGCAUCGACGGUGAGGCCACCGCAACGCCGGAAGCCACACUCGCGGAGGCCCCCGCUGCCGGAGCGAAGGCCGUUGCCGGGGCACCGGCAACCCCUGCGGGCACUGGCGCUGUCGGAGUCCCGGCGGGCGCCCUAGGACCGGUUGCUGCCACGGUAUUGGCGGCUCCCGUUGAGGCGGGAGCCGCCGCCGAGACACCCGCGGCCCCUGUUGCCGCGGAUGCCGUCGAGGUGCCGACGAGCGCCCCUGCAGCGGCCGCCACUGCAAGCUUGGUGACCGCUGUUGGGGCAGACGUCGUCAUCGAGGAGAUGGCUGCAGCCGCGGCAAACACCCUCGAUCUCCUCAAGAUCAGGGGCACGCUGUCGCUGCUUUCGUCGUCGUCCUCCACGGCGACGACCUCCGGGGAAGCCGCCGCCUGGCCCGCCUCGUCGUCCAGCGACUAGAGGGAGGGCCAGCUGGGCUCGGACCUGUCCACGCUCUCCUCGAGCACUUGUUUCUCACGGGGUGCUUGAGGGGGAGCGUGCUGGACCCGGGUGGGGGUGUCGUCCAUUAACCCCCACUCGUUGCAGGGCGGGAAGGCGCCGACAACGUCGCUAAGCACCUGGACGUCGGCAUGGAGGGAGGGAACCCCCGGCGGGAACUCCGUUGAUUGGAAGAUCUCGCCGGAGAUCCCCCUCACCCAUGUCCUAAGGGUCUCCAAGUCCACGCCGUCCUGCUGGAGGCGUGUCCUGUCCUUGGGACCCGUGUACAUCCACGCGGGCCGGGAGCGUAGCUGCAGCGGGGCUAUGCGCCGAUGGACGAAGGUGGGAGCCACAUCCACGUCGGUGAGCCCCGCUAGCCGCAGCGCCUUGAUCUUCUCCCCGAUGGGGGAAAGGUCGGCGCCGUGGUGGUACCUUUCCUGCCAACCGUUCUGGAGUACCGGCAACUCCGUCGGUGGCUGGAUGAACUCCUGGGGAUCCUCCACUCGGACCCAGCACCAGUCGCUCCGCCACUCUUUCUCAAUCUUCUUCCCCGACCGGACGAUGAACUCGAACUUCAUCUAGUCGCGGGCGCGGAAGACCACCCCCGACGACAUCGCCUUCACGUUGUCGAUGCAUGGAUAGAAGUAGUGGCAGAAGAGCCCCACCGACAGCAUCACCCCCACGAACGCCUCACAAAGGAACUGGAAGGUGGCGAGGAGGAACAGCGAGGUGGGGUGAAGCUACGCCACCUGCAGCUGGUAGGACUCCAUCAGCGCGUGGAGGAAUAGAGAGAAGGGCGGCACCAUGCCGCAGAGGAGGAAGCGCGUGAACCCCCGGAAGUCGUUAUCCUGGUGCUCGGCGCCCGCCGGGAAGAUCUGCGUCUCCCCGUGCUCGUUGAAACGGGAAGCAACGGCAUGCCGGAGCUUCCCCAGCGCCUCGCCAUUGUAGCCAGGGCGGAAGAAGGUGACUGUGCCACGCAUCUCCCGCCUCUUCUGGUCCUUGGCAGCGGCUGUUGGGUUCGUUGCAUAGGAAACAAAAAUUUUCCUACGAGAAGUGCGGAAGAAACCCAAGAAUAUAUAUACUAGAUGUAUGUAACGAGAGGGAUCAUGAACACCAUACCCUCGUAGACCGCUAAGCGUUACGAUCACGAGAUCGUUGUUGGUGUAGUGAAACUUUCAAUGAGAUCAAUCUCAGUGCCGAACGGACAGCACCUCCUUGGUAUCCACACGUUCAGCUUCACGUUGUCUCCUCCUUCCUCGAUCCAGCAAGCGAGAGGGAGAGGUAGACGAGAUCCCGGCAGCACGACGGCGUGGUGACUAUGGUGAAUAUUCUCACGGGCAGGGCUACGCCGUGCGCGUGAGAAGAGGAGGAGAGGAGGGCUCAGGGGAGAGAGAUCCAACUGAAAGCUUGGGGUGUCUCUCUCCCUUGCCCCCCCUUCUAUUUAUAUAGGGGUAGAGGAGGCGUGGCCGGCCAGGACUAUCCCGUGGCCAGGACUCUCCGGCGGCCAGGACUCUCAUGCGGCCAGGACUCUCCCGCGGCCAGGACUCUCCUCCUGGCCGCAUGGGCCCCCUGUGGGCUAGCCCCUCGGCCCAUUAAGGCCAGGGUGCUCCCUCACAGGCCCAUUUAGCCCAGGGAUAGGUGGGCCUCAAGGUGGAACCCUCCGGAUCCCUCCGGAACCUUCUAGAAGCUUCCCGGUCAAAACCGGGAAAUAUUCCAAACUUUCCAGAACCCUGAAAACAACUUUCCAUAUAUAAAUCUUUAUCUCCGGAACAUUCCGGAGCUCCUCGUUGCGUCUAGGAUCCCAUCCAAGACUCCGAAUCAUAAUUCGAUAUCAUCAUCAUUUAUCUCAUCUAACCCAAGCAACAUGAAACGUUAAGUGUGUGACCCUACGGGUUCGAGAACAUGUGGACAUGAUCAAAUAUCAAUAACCAAUAGCGGGACCUGGAUGUUCAUAAUAGUUCCCACAUAUUCCACGAAGAUCUCAUCGGUUGAACCACUAUGUCGAGGAUUCAAUUAAUCCAGUAUCCAAUUCUCUUUGUCUCCCGAUAUAUUACUUGCCCGAGAUUUGAUCGUCAGUAUCGCCAUACCUAGUUUAAUCUCGUUACCGGCAAGUUCUCUUUACUCGUUCCGUAAUAUAAUACCCCCGCAACUAAACACAUUAGUUGCAUGCUUGCAAGCUCAUUAGGAUGUUAUAUUACCGAGAGGGCCCAAAGAUAUCUCUCCGUCACAAGGAGUGACAAAUCCCAGUCUUGAUCGAUACAACCCAACAAGCACCUUCUGGGAUACCUGAAAAACACCUUUAUGAUCACCCAGUUACGAGAUGACGGUUGAUGCCCACAAAGUAUUCUUCCGGUACUAGGGAGUGGCAUGAUCUCAUGGUCUAAAGAAAUAAUACUUGACAUAAUAAAACAUAAGCAACUUAAACUUAAGUGACACGAUCAAAAGCUAUGUUUAGGUUUGGGUCUGUCCAUCACAUCAUUCUCCUAAUGAUAUGACCUCGUUAUUAAAUGACAACACAUGUCUAUGGUUAGGAAACCUUAACCAUCUUUAAUCAACGAGCUAAUCUAGUAGAGGCGUAUUAGGGACACGGUAUUUGUUUAUUUAUCCACACAUGUAUUUGAGUUUCCAAUCAAUACAAUUAUAGCAUGGGCAAUAAACAUUUAUCAAGAACAAUGAAAUAUGAUAAUAACAAAUUUAUUAUUGCCUCUAGGGCAUAUUUCCAACAGUCUCCCACUUGCACUAGAGUCAAUAAUCUAUUUUACAUUGUAAUAAAUCUAACACCCAUGGAGUCUUGGUGUUGAUCAUGUUUUGCUCGUGGAAGAGGUUUAGUCAACGGGUCUGCGACAUUCAGAUCCGUAUGUACUUUGCAAAUCUUUAUGUCACCAUCCUUGACAUAUUCACGAAUAGUGUGAAACCGGCGUUUAAUAUGCUUGGAAUUCUUGUGAGACCUCGGCUCCUUGGCGUUGGCUAUGGCACCAGUGUUGUCACAAUAGAUGUCCAUGGGAUCCAACGCACUCGGAACCACACCAAGUUCAGAUAUGAACUCCUUCAUCCAAACUCCUUCCUGUGCCGCUUCUGAAGCAGCCACAUAUUCCGCUUCAGUUGUUGAUGCUGCCACAACGCUCUGCUUGGAACUCCUCCAGCUAACUGCACCACCAUUCAAAAUAAAUACGUAUCCGGAUUGAGACUUAGAGUCAUCCGGAUCAGUGUCAAAACUAGCAUCGACGUAACCCUUUACGACGAGCUGUUCGUCACCUCCAUAAACGAGAAACAUUUCUUUAGUCCUUUUUAGGUACUUAAGGAUAUUCUUAACUGCUGUCCAGUGUUCCACUCCUGGAUCACUUUGGUACCUGCUAGUCAAACUAACAGCAUGACACACGUCUGGUCUAGUACACAGCAUGGCAUACAUAAUAGAGCCUAUGGCUGAGGCAUAGGGGAUACUAUUCAUCUUUUCUCUAUCUUCUGCCGAAGCUGAACACUGAGUCUUACUCAAUAUCUUACCUUGCAACAUGGGCAAGAACCCUUUCUUUGCUUGAUCCAUUUUGAACCUUUUCAAAACUUUGUCAAGGUAUGUACUUUGUGUAAGUCCUAUCAGCCGUCUUGAUCUAUCUCUAUAAAUCUUGAUGCCUAAUAUGUAAGCUGCUUCACCAAGGUCUUUUAUUGAAAAACUUUUAUUCAAAUAGCCUUUAACACUUUUAAGAAGUUCUAUAUCAUUCCCAAUCAGCAAUAUGUCAUCCACAUACAGUAUUAGAAAUGCUACAGAGCUCCCACUCACUUUCUUGUAAAUACAAGCUUCUCCGUGAGUUUGGACAAAUCCAAACCCUUUGAUCACCUUAUCAAAACGAAGAUUCCAACUCCGAGAUGCUUGCUUCAGCCCAUAAAUGGAACGCUGAAGUUUGCAUACCUUAUUAGCAUCCUUAGGAUCGACAAAACCUUUGGGCUGAACCAUGUAUAACUCUUCCUCAAUGUGACCAUUAAGGAACGCGGUUUUGACAUCCAUCUGCCAGAUUUCGUAAUCGAAAAAUGCAGAAAUUGCUAACAUAAUCCGAACAGACUUUAGCAUCGCUACGGGUGAGAAAGUCUCAUCGUAGUCAACUCCUUGAAUUUGUCGAAAACCUUUUGCGACAAGUCGAGCUUUAUAGACGAUAACAUUUCCAUCAGCAUCUGUUUUCUUCUUGAAAAUCCAUUUGUUCUCAACGGCCUUUCGGUCAUUCGGUAAGUCUACCAAAGUCCAUACUUGGUUUUCAUACAUGGAUCCCAUUUCGGAUUUCAUGGCUUCUAACCAUUUUUCGGAGUCUGGGCUCAUCAUCGCUUCCUCAUAAUUCGCAGGUUCAUCGUUGUCCAACAACAUGACAUUCAUGACACGAACAUUGUACCACUCAGGAGUAUUACGUGUUCUCGUCGACCUGCGAAGUUCAGUAGUUGUCUCAUUCAAAACUUCAUGAUCAUUAUCAUUAGCUUCCUCUCUAGCUGAUGCAGGAUGCACGGGAACAGUUUCUGGUGCUGCGCUACACUCAAAUUCGAGAGAAGGUUCAAUAACCUCAUCGAGCUCUACCUUCCUCCCACUCACUUCUUUCGAGAGAAACUCCUUCUCUAGAAAGGACCCGUUCUUAGUGACAAACACUUUUCCUUCGGAUCUGUGAUAGAAGGUGUACCCAAUUGUUUCUUUAGGGUAUCCUAUGAAGACGCAUUUUUCCGACUUGGGUUCGAGCUUAUCAGGUUGUAGCCUUUUUACAUAAGCUUCGCAUCCCCAAACUUUAAGAAAGGACAGCUUAGGUUUCUUGCCAAACCAUAAUUCAUACGGUGUCGUUUCAACGGAUUUAGAUGGUGCCCUAUUUAAAGUGAAUGCGGCUGUCUCUAAUGCAUAACCCCAAAACGACAGUGGCAAAUCAGUAAGAGACAUCAUAGACCAUACCAUAUCCAAUAAAGUACGAUUACGACGUUCGGACACACCAUUGCGUUGUGGUGUUCCAGGCGGCGUAAGUUGUGAAACAAUUCCACAUUGUCUUAAAUGCGUGCCAAACUCGUAACUCAAAUAUUCACCUCCACGAUCCGAUCGUAGAAAUUUAAUUUUCUUGUUACGAUGAUUCUCCACUUCAUUCUGAAAUUCCUUGAAUUUUUCAAAUGUCUCAGACUUGUUUUUCAUUAAGUAAAUAUACCCAUAUCUACUCAAGUCAUCUGUGAAGGUUAGGAAGUAACGAUAUCCACCGCACGUUGUAACACUCAUUGGUCCGCACACAUCAGUAUGUAUGAUCUCCAACAAGUCACUGGCCCGUUCCAUUAUGCCUGAAAACGGGGUUCUAGUCAUCUUACCCAUGAGGCAUGGUUCACAUGUAUCAAAUGAUUCAAAAUCAAGUGAUUCAAGUAGUCCAUCAGAAUGGAGUUUCUUCAUGCGUUUUAUACCAAUAUGACCUAGACGGCAGUGCCACAAAUAUGUUGAACUAUCAUUAUCCACUUUGCACCUUUUGGCAUUAACAUUAUGAAUAUGUGUGUCACUACUAUCGAGACUUAAAAGAAAUAAACCAUUCACAAGUGGUGCAUGACCAUAAAAGAUAUUACUCAUAUAAAUCGAACAACCAUUAUUCUCUGAUUUAAAUGAAUAACCAUCUUGCAUUAAACAAGAUCCUGAUAUAAUGUUCAUGCUCAACGCAGGCACCAAAUAACAAUUACUAAGGUUUAAAACUAAUCCCGAAGAUAAAUGUAGAGGGAGCGUGCCGACGGCGAUCACAUCAACUUUUGAUCCAUUCCCGACGCGCAUAGUCACCUCAUCUCUUGCUAGUCUUCGUUUAUUCUGUAGCUCCUGUUUCGAGUUACAAAUGUGAGCAACUGAACCAGUAUCAAAUACCCAGGUGCUACUACGAGUACUAGUAAGGUACACAUCAAUAACAUGUAUAUCAAAUAUACCUUUGACGUUGCCAGCCUUCUUAUCUGCCAAGUACUUGGGGCAGUUACGUUUCCAGUGGCCAGUCCCCUUGCAGUAGAAGCACUCAGUAUCCGGCUUAGGUCCAGAUUUGGGCUUCUUCGCGGGAGUGGCAACAGUUUUGCCACCCUUCUUGAAAUUUCCCUUCUUACCCUUUGCCUUCUUGAAACUGGUGGUCUUAUUGACCAUCAACACUUGAUGCUCCUUUUUGAUUUCCACCUCCGCGGUUUUUAACAUCGCGAGGAGCUGAGGAAGUGUCCUAUCCAUCCCUUGCAUAUUGUAGUUCACCACAAAACUUUUAUAGCUAGGUGGUAGUGACUGAAGAACCCGGUCAAUGCCUAAUUCAUUAGGAAUCUCAAUUCCCAGUUGUCUCAGGCGGUCGGCGUACCCAGACAUUCUGAGCACGUGCUCGCUAACGGAGCUGUUCUCCUCCAUCUUGCAGUUAAAGAACCUUUCGGAGGCAUCAUACCUCUCCGCACGGGCUUGGGUCUGAAAUAAAGUAUUCAGUUCCCCAAUCAUAGCAUAUGCCGAGUGGUGCUCAAAACGCUUUUGGAGCUCAGGUUCCAUACCAAGCAAGAGGCCGCACCUAACUACAUUGUGGUCCUCAGAUUGAGUCAGCCAAACGUUCCUAACGUCAGCAGACUCAGUUGCUGCGGGUUCUGCACCAAGCGCUGCAUCAAAAACAUAAGCCUUUUUGGCAGCUUCGAGGAUAAUCCUCACAUUCCGGAACCAGUCCGUAAAGUUGCUUCCAUUGGACUUCAGUUUAUCUUUCUCUAGGAGAGUAUUCAUAUUGAACGUAGUACGAGCCAUUGAUCUACAGCAUAUUUGCAAAGGCAAUUAGACUAAGUUCAUGAUAAUAAGUUCAAGCUAAUCAAAUUACUAAUGAACUCCCACUAAAAUCAACAUCCCUCGGGUUGUUUAGUGACACAUGAUCCAAAUCCACUACACCAAGUCCGAUCAUCACGUGAGAUGGAGUAGCUUCAAUGGUAAACAUCAGCAUGUUGAUCACAUCAUUCAUAUGACUCAUGUUUAACCUUUCGGUUCCUUGUGUUCCAAGGCCAUGUCUGUACAUGCUAGGCUCGUCAAGUUAACCAAAGUAUUCCUGCAUGUGUAAAACUGGCUUACACCCGUUGUAUGCGAACGUAGAGUUUAUAACACCCGAUCAUCACGUGGUGCUUCAAAACGACGAACUUUUGCAACGGUGCAUACUAAGGGAGAACACAUUAUUAUCUUGAUAUUAACAAUGAGGGAUCAUCUUAUAAUGCUACCGUCAACUAAGCAAAAUAAGAUGCAUAAAAGGGAUAAACAUCACAUGCAUAAAUAAUGUGACAUGAUAUGGCCUUCUCUUCGUGUGCCUUUGAUCUCCAUCUCCAAAGCACGGGCAUGAUCUCCAUCAUCACCAGCAUGGCGCCUAGGUCCUCGGGCGUCAUGUAUAGUUGCCUCCACCAACUAUUGCUACUACGACUAUUGCUACUACUAGCGAUAAAGUAAAGCAAUUACAUGGCGAUUAAAUCAUUGACAUGAAGGUCAUACAAUAAUUAAUGAGACAACCAUACGGCUCCUGCCGGUUGCCAAACUCAUCGACAUGCAAGUCGUGAAAUAUUACAAAACAUGAUCAUCUCAUACAUCAAAUAUAUUAUAUCAUAUCUUGGCCAUACCACAUCACAUGCCCCUGCAAAAACACGUUAGACGCUUCUACUUUGUUGUUGCAUGUUUUAUGUGGCUUUAGGGGCUGCACUAAAAGAACCGUUCUUACUUACGCAAAAGCCACAACGGUGAUAUACAAAUUGCUUAUUAACCAUAUAGGCCUCCCAUUGCAAAUCAGAUUUCAACUAUAGUGGGAGAGACAGACACCCGCCAGCCGCCUUAUGCAAUACAAGUUGCAUGUUAAUUGCGGAACCGGUCUCUUGUGCGAAGACAAGUAAGGUUGGUCCGAGCCACUUCAUCCCACUAUCCCGCAAAAUCCGAUAGUGCACAAAGGAGGUAGCAAUAUGAACAUCAACGCCCACAACUAAAUUGUGUUCUACUCGUACAAAACAUCUACGCAUAGAUCUAGCUCUGAUACCACUGUUGGGUUCGUUGCAUAGGAAACAAAAAUUUUCCUACGAGAAGUGCGGAAGAAACCCAAGAAUAUAUAUACUAGAUGUAUGUAACGAGAGGGAUCAUGAACACCAUACCCUCGUAGACCGCUAAGCGUUACGAUCACGAGAUCGUUGUUGGUGUAGUGAAACUUUCAAUGAGAUCAAUCUCAGUGCCGAACGGACAGCACCUCCUUGGUAUCCACACGUUCAGCUUCACGUUGUCUCCUCCUUCCUCGAUCCAGCAAGCGAGAGGGAGAGGUAGACGAGAUCCCGGCAGCACGACGGCGUGGUGACUAUGGUGAAUAUUCUCACGGGCAGGGCUACGCCGUGCGCGUGAGAAGAGGAGGAGAGGAGGGCUCAGGGGAGAGAGAUCCAACUGAAAGCUUGGGGUGUCUCUCUCCCUUGCCCCCCCUUCUAUUUAUAUAGGGGUAGAGGAGGCGUGGCCGGCCAGGACUAUCCCGUGGCCAGGACUCUCCGGCGGCCAGGACUCUCAUGCGGCCAGGACUCUCCCGCGGCCAGGACUCUCCUCCUGGCCGCAUGGGCCCCCUGUGGGCUAGCCCCUCGGCCCAUUAAGGCCAGGGUGCUCCCUCACAGGCCCAUUUAGCCCAGGGAUAGGUGGGCCUCAAGGUGGAACCCUCCGGAUCCCUCCGGAACCUUCUAGAAGCUUCCCGGUCAAAACCGGGAAAUAUUCCAAACUUUCCAGAACCCUGAAAACAACUUUCCAUAUAUAAAUCUUUAUCUCCGGAACAUUCCGGAGCUCCUCGUUGCGUCUAGGAUCCCAUCCAAGACUCCGAAUCAUAAUUCGAUAUCAUCAUCAUUUAUCUCAUCUAACCCAAGCAACAUGAAACGUUAAGUGUGUGACCCUACGGGUUCGAGAACAUGUGGACAUGAUCAAAUAUCAAUAACCAAUAGCGGGACCUGGAUGUUCAUAAUAGUUCCCACAUAUUCCACGAAGAUCUCAUCGGUUGAACCACUAUGUCGAGGAUUCAAUUAAUCCAGUAUCCAAUUCUCUUUGUCUCGCGAUAUAUUACUUGCCCGAGAUUUGAUCGUCAGUAUCGCCAUACCUAGUUUAAUCUCGUUACCGGCAAGUUCUCUUUACUCGUUCCGUAAUAUAAUACCCCCGCAACUAAACACAUUAGUUGCAUGCUUGCAAGCUCAUUAGGAUGUUAUAUUACCGAGAGGGCCCAAAGAUAUCUCUCCGUCACAAGGAGUGACAAAUCCCAGUCUUGAUCGAUACAACCCAACAAGCACCUUCUGGGAUACCUGAAAAACACCUUUAUGAUCACCCAGUUACGAGAUGACGGUUGAUGCCCACAAAGUAUUCUUCCGGUACUAGGGAGUGGCAUGAUCUCAUGGUCUAAAGAAAUAAUACUUGACAUAAUAAAACAUAAGCAACUUAAACUUAAGUGACACGAUCAAAAGCUAUGUUUAGGUUUGGGUCUGUCCAUCACAUCAUUCUCCUAAUGAUAUGACCUCGUUAUUAAAUGACAACACAUGUCUAUGGUUAGGAAACCUUAACCAUCUUUAAUCAACGAGCUAAUCUAGUAGAGGCGUAUUAGGGACACGGUAUUUGUUUAUUUAUCCACACAUGUAUUUGAGUUUCCAAUCAAUACAAUUAUAGCAUGGGCAAUAAACAUUUAUCAAGAACAAUGAAAUAUGAUAAUAACAAAUUUAUUAUUGCCUCUAGGGCAUAUUUCCAACAGCGGCCUCCUUGAUCGCCGCCUCGGUCUUGCUCGUUGCAGCCCUCUUCGAGACUUGGACCUCCUUCCCCUUUCUGGUGGUGGGGGGCUCCAUGGAAAGCGAGGGCGGAAGCUAGCAGGAGCGCAGGGAUGCGAGAUGUGAAAGGGGAUGGAAGUGAAGGCAAGGGGGGCAGAGUGUUGUUCCCCUUUUGGCAACAGUAAUGACUUUAUAACGCCGGCCGUUUGGUAACGGCCGGUUCCGUACCCUACGGGUGCGCGGGGAUAACUCCUAAUCAUCAGGAGUAAUGUGCGGAGUGGCCUUAACUUCCCUAUUUAGGGGGGGAGUUAGGGCGGAAAUCACGCGUCCACUACUCCGUUUGUAACGGCUCCGUACACGGGGCGGCGAAGGGACGCGGGCCCGUGACUGAUCGGGGCCCACGCGCCGGUUGAGGGCGUAGCCCGGCAACCGACCAGGGGGAAGACUCUUCCGGGAACAGGUGAUGCCGGCCCACGCCCGGGGGCUACUGUCGCACCAGUGGCACCAUUCUCGAGUUCCCGGGAAGGCUUCAUCCUGGGCAACGUCUAUGAGCAGCCCGGCAAGCUACCAGCCCGGAAGGGGCUAGCGGGGCUUCUAGGAACAUUCCCGCCUGGGCACCUCCCGGGAAGCUGCUUCCUGGGGGAGGUUCCCGGGUGCGUUGGGCCCGGGUGCUUCCCGGAGUCGACUUGCCGGGACGAGGGGUUCCCGGGCGCAUGCCCCCGCCUCAGGCGCGGGGCCCAGUGGCCAGAUUUACAGCGCCAUGAGGACGCGUGGCGCGCGUGGGAUGCACGGUCCCACCAGGGCAAGGAGUAAGGCGCACGGCUCAGUAAAUGAGCCGACCGACGGGUUGUUACCCGUCCGAUCAAAGGAACAGUGGCUGUCCAAUCCUACUCUAGGGGUUUUAGACCCCUAGCGGCAGAGGUGGCGUCCAUGCAUGCCACCAGCUCACCGGGGGGAGUUGUAUGCCUCCCCGCCCGACACUUGUAGCCCAUGCACCACGGCACCUGUGGCAUCCCCUUGAGUAUAAAAGGAGGACCCAUGCCAACGGUCAAGAGGUUCCGCAUGUGUUGGUCUGGUUCCGAGUAGGGAAAAAAGGUUAGGCAGAAGAUUAGUUGGCUCCAGUGGGCAGCUGGGCGACCAGCUCAUAGUCGGCUUCCUGCACGAGCAAAGGGUAGUAAGAGGUACCUAGCCAGAGGGAGAAAGCCCGGGAACUUGCCCGACAACUUGUAAACGCUCGAUCCACAAUCAAUAUCAGCUCAGACAAGCAGGACGUAGAGUUUUACACCUUCGGGUGGCCCGAACCUGGGUAAAAAACGUGCGUGUGCUUGUUCUUGGAUUAGCACGCACUCUCUAGUACUUCCCUUCGCCGGCCCCGUAGGGCCUCAUCGGCCGUGCCAGUGAUCAUCGGGGCUCUGCCCCGACGCCCCUACCGAACCUAAAAGGGGGCCGUGACCGCACACCCCCGGUGUCGGAGCACCGUGCGACGACACAAUUCAUACAUCCAAACAUAGUCUUAAUGAACAGAUUUAGACUACUAGAACUAAAUUGAACUGCGACACCAAAUUCAAAGCCUGUAUGCAUUUCUUUGACUAAUUUGCAAAGCUUUUGCCUCAUCAAAAAACAAAAAAGGACAGGACUAGAGAGUGGCCGUUGGCUGGUUAAGCCUAGCCAGCCAAUGACUGAUACAGAAAGUAAAAAAUCACACGGUAUAGCUACAAAAGGAAACAAUCCUGACAAGACCAACGCGCGCGAGAAAAGUUCCUCUAUCUUUACUUCAGCAUGUCUUACACGUGGUGUUACAUGCAUUUAAUUUCCUUAAUUUUUUUCAAAACGCCAUAACUUUCAAACCACACGCCGAAAUGACGAACUGUUUUCACCGUUGGCUUUACCGCAACGAGAUCUUCAAAACUAGAUGCAACUUGGGUAUAUUUUGACCAAUAUUUUACAAAAAGCAACUUUUGCGAGAGACUGUGCAACUUUAGCACUCAUAUUAGCAACUUUAACUUUCAUAGUAUCAACUUUGACUUACAUAUCAGUAGCAGUUUUUGCUCACUCUAACAAUUUCGAUUUCUAUACUGACAACUUUGACUAAAAUACUAGCGACUUUGGCUUCCACCCGAUGACAGUUUUUGCUCCACUCUAGCAAGUUUACUCCGUCAUAAACAACUUCGGUAUGCCUCGGCUGUAACUUUUGCGAUGUGUUGGGAACUUUGUCUUCGGUGCCAUCAAGUUUUACUCCUGUAGUAGCAACUAUUGCACCCAUACUAGCAACUUCAAUUCUCAUACUAGCAACUAUUACUCGCAUAUUAGCAACUUUGACUCAAACACUUGCAAUCACUACUCCCGUUAUGGCAACUUUAGCCCACUACCAUUUGCAAUUUUUUGCUCUUCUCUAGAAACUUUCGCACCAUCGCAGACAUCUUUGGUGUGGCAGAUCAAACUUCCGCUAGCGUGUGACAAACUUCUUCUAACUUUCACUCAUACUAGCAACUUUAAAUCAUAUAUCGACAACUUUCACUCUCAUACUAGCAACUUUAAAUCAUAUAUCGACAACUUUCACUCUCAUACUAGCAAAUUUGAUUUUUGUAUUAAAUAGCAACUAGCUUUCACUCUCACGCUAGCAACUUUGGCUGCUAUAUCAGCAACUUUCACUCUCAUACUAGCAAUUGUACUCUUAUACUGACAACUUUGAUUCUAAUACUAACAAUUUUGACUUGGAUACUAGCAACUUUAACUCCCAAACAACUCUUACUCCCAUCUGAUAGCAACAUUUUGCUCCACUGCAGCAACUUACAAUCCAUCACAAACAAUUUUGGUGUGCCCGGUGACAACUUUGCUAUUGUUUUGCGAACUUUGUCUUCUAUGCCGAUAAAUUUGGCUCCCAUCCGGUAGCAAUUUUGAUACACUUUGGCAACUUUAACUCCAUCACGAACUACGGUUUUUUGUGCCCGGUGGGCGGUGGCAACUUUCGCUAAUGUUUGGCAACUUCGUCUUUCGUGCUAGCAACUUUGGCUCUCAUACCGACAACUUUGUUAACACAUGAGCCAACGGUUGUAAUAGAGUAGCGAAAUUUGCUAAUAGAGGAGCCAAAGUUGCCAACACAUGAGAUAAACUUGUUACGAGAAGAGUAGUGGAAAUUGUCCAUCAAAGUAUGUGGCUAACAGAGAAGUCAAUAUUGCCGACUAAAUAUUAAAGUUGUCAGUAGAGCAGCCAAAAUUGCAGCACAUGAGCCAAAAUUGUCGGGAUGUAAAUUGAAACUGUGAAUACAUGAGCGAAAGUUGCUAACCGAGGAGUCAUAAUUGUUUACAAUAUAGUGUAGCAGAAGUUACUAGCGGAACGAUCAAUGUUGUUUACAUAUAAGAGAAAGUUGCUUUUUGAAAAAACGAUGUCGAAACAUACCCAUAUGAGGUCUAGUUUUGAAGAUCUUGUCGCAAGAGUUCCAACGUGAAAACGGAUCAUAUUUUUUACGUCCGGUUUGAAAGUUAUGAUCUUUUGAAUUUUGAAAAACAAAAUUAAUCCCACGUAAUAUCAGCGCACGCCUGACUACAUGGUCCAUAGUUAAGUUAGUUAAAAGAAAAGGAAAAACUGCAUGUGGAUUGUUUUGUUCGACUCAGGACCAAUUGCACUCGUAACUGAGAAAAAAAUUGCAGCUGCACCUGUCAGCUCUUAGGAAAAAAGAAAAGUCCGCUCGAUUUCAUAUCUUCGUGUCCCCUCCAAACGUCCAAAAAGUCCCAACCAACUCGGCUGAGGAAACGACUCAAACAGUCAAACCCCAAACCUUCCAAAGCCACCACAUCAAUGGCGGACUCCCCCUCCUUCCGCCGCCACCCGCUUCCCUUCUCCAUCGACCUGGUCCGCUGGCUCCCUUCCUCCACCUCCUCGGGCCGCCUCCUCGCCGCCGCCGUCCACGACCUCUCCUCUUCCCAACUCCAUCUCCUCCCCCUCCCCGACCCUGCCUCCCCGCUCGCCUCCCUCCCGCUCCCCUCCCGAGCCACCGCCCUCCGCUGCUCCCCAUCCGUGCUCGCCGCGGCCACCUCCUCCGGCUCCCUCCACCUCCUCCCCUCCUCCUUCGACGCCGGCUCGGCGAUAUCCGUUCCCAGCGGCGCGGGGUUCCACGUGGGGCCCGUGCGCGGGCUUGACUGCGGCGGGGAGGAGUGGGUGACGGCGGGGGAGGACGGCAGGGUGCACGUGGUUUCCGGUGGCGGCGACGGCAGGGUGGUCGCGAAGAGGGUUUGGGAUGGGAAGGGAAUGUCGGGGUAUGAGGCGGCGAGGUGGGCGUCGUCCGCGGAGUUCGCCACCGGCGGCGCCGGCUGCGGCGUGCAGUGGUGGGACCGGAGGAAGGGGGACGCCGUGGUGGCGCAGUGCAAGGGCAUCUGGUGAGUGUGAGUCUGACUGGAUUUUGCAUUUUCUGCUGUUUGAUUCAUGUGCUUCAAGGUGUUGUGGGCAGUGCGAUAUAGGUUCUCUGGUAGCCCUUCAUGCGGACUAUAAGAGACAUAUGUUAUUUUGAUCAAUGCUUCACUAGUUUGGUUAUCCUAUUAUGGUUGAAUGCAGUGAUGCGCAGAUACUUUUUUCAUUCCGGAUAAAAGAACACUAAGCUUAAGGUUUACUCUUUGUAUAUUUUUGUUGUGUGAUGGUCUUCAUAUCAAGAUGUCACUGGCUCUGUGUUUUGAAAGAAAUGCACGUUCUCAUAUGGAUCAGAUGAUUAUGUUCUGCAAUAAUUUGUCUCGAAAUAUUAAGAAAAUGUUUUUGCCAUAUUUACGUUCCAUUUCCAGAAGGCUAUGGCUCAUUAUUUGUCAUUCUGUUGACUGAUUAGUAGCAAUGGAGAAGCUUUCAGGUGCGAAACUUGAUAAACUGCACAAUCUUGUCAAUUUAUGCUUGGAGUGUACUGCUAAGAUAUUCCCUAAUGUAUGGGACAACUACCUGGUUUUGGUUUAUUUAGUGAGAAGCAGAAAGAUUGGAUCUGUGGCUUUUCAUAGGAUUGAUGGCUUUUAGGUCAACCUGUAAUCUUGCAAAACAUCAUGUGGAUUUAGCUGUACUCCCAGCAAAUAUAUAGUUGGAAGAUUAAGGUUCUUUCACAUGCUCAGGUCAUAUAGCACUGGUUGUAUUACUUUCAAGUUUCAACUGGUUAAUUCUGCUAACAUGUGAUAAAAAUAGGAAAAACAGAAGUCAUAAUUAUCGUUGUGCAACUGAAUAUAGUAUCAUAAUUUUAUAUUGUUCCUAAUGCUCCAUUGGUGCUAUUAUGCUGAUUUCAUUAACUUGUAAUUUUGCAGGGGUCGUGGCAUUGCCACUGGCAUGGUGCAUUCCAUUGAUAUCCAUCCAUCAAGAAAGCAUAUCUGUGUGGUAUGUCAAUAUAACUCUUUGCAUGAACCGGGAAAUAGUAAAUGUAUGUUCACUUAAGUGAAUGCACAGUUUUAAUAAAGUUUCCCUUGUUAUGUUUUCCUGUGAAUAAUUGGAACCUUCAUAUUGACCAUAAAGCAUAACUCAUGAUGAUACUUUUGUUCUUUCACCAGAUAUUUGGCACUUAAAGAUAAGACACUAGUAUAAACGAGUGAUUGAACAUAACACCCAAAACAUAGGGUUAAGUGCUUUGGUGGGUCUAGGACAAGAAAAUUAUUCAGGUAUUGUGUAACUAAGCUAUGAUUGAGCUGCAUAAAUCGAACCAUGAUUUUAAACCUAGGAUGUGGGUAAUUGGUGUGUAUACCCUGUGAAGCCAGCCAUAACUAUAUGAGACUGGGCCUAGAGAUAGGUAGGGAGUAGGUGCAACUGUUGAACUCUCAAGUGGCAAGGUGAUUGAGUUGUGACCACACUGUUAAACCUAAGAUACAGGUAACUGGCUUGCCACCAAUGAGGGCAGCCAGCUCAUGUUAUCUCAAGCACACAGAACCCAAACAUGGGUCAACCCCUGUUGAGCACAUAGUUGUAAUUAGUUGAAUGGAAGUGUUUAGCUGAACCGUUACUACAAAGAUGAAUCGCCUCUAAAUGUUUGUAGGUGGGAGGCUCCUCAGGGACAAUAUUUGCUUGGGACCUACGCUGGCAACAACAACCAAUACCGCUCUCUGGUGUAGGCCUUGAUGGAACAGCACAAUCUGUGUGUGAGAGUGAGGUCUGGGAGGUUCUUUUUGAUAACUACACACAGUCUUCUGAUAUUAUUUCAUCUGCCUCAACACGAAUGUUACCUGUGAUGAUGUGCUCAGAGGAUGGAAUCCUUGCAAUUGUCGAACAAGGUGAGCCAGUGGCCAGAAAGCUAUAACUGUGUCCAUUGUUGACUUCUUUAAUGCAAAGUGCUUAAGAUGUGUCAAUUUUUACCAGACGAGAGACCUCUUGAAUUGCUUGCCGAACCCUGUGCUAUCAACUCCUUUGAUAUUGAUCCUCAGAACCCUUCUGUAAGUUUAUGUCUGCUCCAGGUUGAAUAGAGCAAGUUUUUGUUUCUUGAUGAUGAGCUGUAAUCAUCUUCUGUUUUUUUUUUUCACAGGAUGUGGUCUGUGCCCUGGAAUGGGAAUCAAUUGGUGUUCUAACACGGGGAAGGGAUGCAAUGGCAGAAGAAUGAAGAGUUUCACUCUAAUGAUUUCUUUAAAUGCCCCUGUGUGAUUUCCUGUAAUUGCCUGGGGUGCAACUACUUGAGAAAUCCGGGUAAGCCAUCUUAUGAGGAUGACAUGCUGAUCAAUUUGUUUUUUUUUUUUGGGAAGACCCAAUUUGUUACUCAUCGGCUACAAUCGUAUGGAAGAGUGUUUGGCAUUUAUUUGGUCCAUCGACUUUGUGUAAGCCUCUGCUGCUGGAAGAGUAUACGCUGGAAGUUUAAUUCACUGGUUUGAACAAGUUAUGUUGUCAUUGUAAUUGCAGAUAGUAGAAAAACUUGUUGAACGCUAGAUCAUUCUUGGCUGCAUAACGGUGCUUACCAGAUCAGAGCUGGAAAUCAGAUGCUGCUGUUUAGUUCAGAAUUUCUGUGUACUGAAUGCCUGAAUCUAUGCUGUCUUCAUAGAACACCACUAUUUUACAAUUGCCAUGAAAAUUGACCGGGAAACCUGAAACAGUUGGAAAGAAGCAAGUUCUUUCUCUUUUCAUUUUCGUGUUCAUUUUUAUUUAUUCAGAGGGCAGUAUCAUUAUAGCAGAUCAAAUGAAGCUCCUGCAUAGAUGUUCUACCACUGUGGGUGAGGUGCUUUGCCAUCGUGAAGGCAAGUGAGGAUGGGAAGAGGAUUGCGACCACGGUAUGGUCCUAACCUACUUUCGCAAAGGCCUCAGGAUUUGAAGGAUGCUUCGGUAGCCUAGCAAACCAUUAUCAGUAAAACAAUAAUUGCACAAAACUACAUGUAAAACCUGUAUAUAAAAAUUACUACACAGACAAGAGUGGGGAGACCUCGUGUGUGUUCCAUUUCACCAGCGUUAGGAAUUCAAAUUUGCAGAAAUGAAGAAUCAGACAUCUACAGUACUGCAAGAUAAGUCCCUUGAAUCAUUCUAUAGAAUCGAAUUUGAAAUGUUGAGCGAGAGGUGAAUCAGCUCCCCAGAGAGAAAUUUAAAUGUUUACAAUCACAAGCUGUUCCUGCUCUUGACAAAGGAAUGCCACGAGAAUCCGUAUAAGAAGGCUAAAAAUUAACUAGAAGCCCGUUUGUUAGUAGUUCUCGAUAAAAAAAAAAAAAAGAGGCAUAUGCCUCAUCUCCUUCAGUGCUUGACAAAAAAUAAGAACUACUUACGUCUACAGGGGAACUAUGGCUACCUGGUUAGUUAGCUACACAAUCAAAUCCUAACUCAGAAACUUCUCAGAGCUUUAAGAUGGAGGCUGAAUGUCAUUGAGCAACAAUCAUUUUGUUAAUUCAGUCCAAUGAUCACUCAACCAGAUUGCAAAAUUCAUUUCUGUGGUUGAAGUUUCUCAACGGAGUGCAGGUACACUGAGACAGACACAACCCUGCAAAUUGAGCAUAUUUCACGAGUCUUAGCACAAGCUGAGGUGUUAUGAUCAACGGAGGCUGCAUUUUAAUUGACACUUACGUCGAUCCGAGGAAGAAUGCGAUGGAUAGGUGGAAGCCAAACAAAAAGACAGAUGCAACUGCUGUUAGAAGCAUUGCAACUGAAGUUGAAUAAACCUGUAACACACCAGAAGAACACUGCAUUUCCUCAAUCGACAAAAAGUUGAGAAACAACACUUCCCAAGAAAAUGGACAGAUAUUGUGGAACCAAGGAAGUAUUAAUUUAAUAACUGCAGUUUUAUCAAUACACAGUAAGACCAAAAAAUAAGUUCUAGGUUCUAAUCCUCUACAAGAUGCAUGUGAUGUGUCUAUAUGCACACAAAAGGACAAGGCCAUAGUAGAAAAUGCCUAUUUGUUUUUCAGUAACAAAAUGAUAUUUGUCAACACGCAAUGCUGAAACUCCUUCUGAGCACUAAUUGCAGCAACUUCUUUUUGCAACAUGAAUAUGUUAUGCAGUCUCAAGUGCCUAAAAUAUAUUCCUACAAGCUUAUCCCACAGACACAGGAUUGAUUGAGGAUAGUUCUCUUGGUUUCAAAAAAAAAUGAAGAGGAACUUGCAUGAUUUAGACAAUAUAAAGCACUAAGAUAAGGAUCAAUAAUUUGCCAACUCCAAGCCCACCAAGACUUCUGUAUCAAAAGAAGUUUAUCAUUAGAUAAAGAAACCAUCUUUACUAAACCUUUAAACUGACAGGCUUUCAUGAUAUUCAACCAUCAUCUAUGCAAUUGAAGCAUUGUAAGAUGGUUGAUGGGGAGAAAUUGAUUCUACUUCAAUGCCACAUACCUUGACAAUAUUAUCAGCAUACUUCAUCACCAUUGAAACAGCAAUCCCACUACAAGGUAAAUCAAGACAUUGUAAGAUGGUUGAUGGGGUCGAAUAUAAAGCAAAGCAAUUAGUAGUUGGUACCUCAGUGCAUGGUUAAAUAUCAUCAGAACUGUGAUGAAUGAAUAUCCAUGGAAAAAGCCUCUGUACCAAAUAGUGUAAUAAUAACUCAAACUGUUGACACUAUGAACUUACUAUGCUGUACACAACAUAGAAUUCAGUAACUAGCAAAAAUACUCACUUAUUCAUGACUUCAUCAUAGUCCUGAACACAGAUUGCAACUAGAUUGAAGACCAGACCAAAAAUGUAUAGCCAAAAGUUCUGCACAUUGAUGUUUCUUGAUGGGCGUUUUUUUAUAAUAGCCUGCAUUGUCAAAAAGAAAACUUCCCUUAGUUUUCAGAUCAAACGAAUGUUGUGUAUAUACCCCAGAGAAUGAUGCAUGGUCAGAUAUUAGGUAAACAGGGGAAAAGACCAACAAGGCAUACUUCUGUAUAUACCCCAGCAAACCACAUAGAAGAGCCAUCACCUGCAAGAAAAAAAAUCAUUUCAGACAGUUGAGUUAAACCCUUCCUGUAGUAAUCUAAAUAUCUAAAUUGAAUAUCUCCUCUAUUACAACUCACAGUUGCCAUCAUCCAACCUUGAAUGGGAGUUUGAAGAACGUGGUCAGACCUGAAAGGGCAAAUAACAUUUCAACCAGUAACAUGACUCGUUCUCCCCAAAAAGGUAACAAGACUGACACCUCACGUCCCAAUAAAUGAACAACUAAUUACUAGAGAAUAUCAAACAAAGAUACAUUUCGAAAUUCAAAUGGUUUAUUUCUUACGAAGGACUGAGUUGAGCUUGUGCAGCCAGCACAAAGAAGAACAAAUGCCGCCCAUUGAAUUUCGCUUAGCCUGAAAAACAUAUGAAAGACACUUAGUACCCAUGCACCAGCUGAUGUGUUACAGCUUGAAAAGGAAACAUGUGCUAGACUGUUGGUGAAGCAAGAAGGAACAGAAGGCAAGGUGCGCUUCUGUUCAUCAUUUGCUUCAUUUCUUCCAAUUCUGCUAUAAUUCGUACAUUCAAAGGUUUGAAAAUGAAAAUCUAAGAGGGGCUCUACCUAUACUGUCAAUUCAUGCCUCCAUUCCAAGCUAUAAAGAAAUGAGCAAUCUAAAUAUCAGGUAUAAUUAUAGUAUCCACCUCCUCAGAAUAGAAACUCACUUCUUUUUGAGAAUGAUGCGGUACAAGACACCUGUGCUGAUGAUAUUAAGGUUCUUCAAAAUCUGGUACGCGGGUGCAUCCACAUAAGCAAAUAUAUAGUACUGGCAUAUAGCAGAAAGUGGAAGAGUAUGUCAACAUACUUUGAAUCAUGAAACUUUGACUAUAACAUGAAGAACUAUGCAUACCUGCAAUAAGUUCUACAGCGGGAAUUGGAUAAACACUAACUUCAUCAAGAGAAGUGAUUAACCUGAAAAAUAAUUAAAUCAUAUGGCUACUGAAAAAUCAGAGGGCAAUUCUAUAGGAUUUAAAUUUAUUUGGAACAUAAUAACAUAUUAAUCAUAUUUAACUCAAAAACAUACUUAUAAGUCAACAAAAAUUGGACACCAGAGUUUCAUGAUGUUGUUCUCUAUGGUUGACCUAUAUGAUUCGCAGUUUCAGAACAUUUUCGAAAACAAUUUGGAUAGUCUAGUUCUGUCUAAAAAACUCUUCAAUCUGCCAUGCCUUGAUAAUUAAAUAGACAUGUUAUGAUGUAGAAACGGGAUAUGAGUAACAUAGUUGACAAAAUGAUGUCCUCACCUAUUAUCUUCUUGAAUACCUUGAUUAUUCCAUGUCCUAGAAAGGGAAGCUAGCGAUAGCAGGCAUUUUAAAGCUUCUACCUAGCCAAGCAUAAAGAAAAACAUUAUCAGAAGAACAGAUAGAAAAUAUGACACUGAAAUGGUAUGCAUAACCUGAAUCGUAAGUAGAAUAUAGAACUCUACCCGUAUUUCCUCACCGAAAAGUUAGCCGUUGUGACACUAUAAUCAUAUUUUCCGGCUCUUUUUGACCACACAAUUAGUAUUGCUUGUGAACUUGUUAGCAAUGUCAAAGCUAUGGUAACAAUGGACCUGUCAUGAUACAUUGAAAAUAGAUCAGAUCGAUUGCAAGGAAGUAUGAAUGUAGCAUAGAGAUUUGAAGGGGAUUAACACUUGCUUUAGUUUCCAACUGGAGCCCUUUGAGCCUCCUGUGGAGCUGAGACCUGCUGUUGCUGCAAUUGUAGCUGAUGGAAUCAAUAGAGUUCAUACUGUUGAUAUCAAGAUAGAGAAUUUGUAUGAUGCAUCAGUGGCUUACCACUGGCGCUAGACAGAGCCCUCCCGCUGAGGCUUUCUACAUCCUUGCAGGAUAUAUCAUCAUAAGUCUCCUUUAGAUGAAAAAGAAGAUAGGUUAGAACAUGAUCUAUUACUGAUAAAGUGCAGGACUCUGGUGUAACAAAUAGAAGCACAUACAGACACCCAACAAGAUUACUAGUACUUUUUUCUCAUUUUUUGCCACAUGGUUUGGUUACUGCUAGGAGCUAUUAACUGGACAAAUUUACCCAAAAACCCGGAACUGACAAAUGGCACAUUCUGUUUCAGUCUAGUUGACUAGGAACUAACAGGGACUGGCAAGUUUUAUGGAAUGGGUUAACUACCAAAUCAGUCUUCAGAUUAUGUUUUUUUGUAGCUGCGACUGACGUACAAGGCCAUCACACACUCCAGUGUACAAUUUUAAAAAUGUUAGCCGCACAAUACAAUUGCACAUAAAUACAUGCAUCCAAGAUCCAACUGCAAACUGUGAGUUCUACAGAAACGAAGAACUUGUAUGAGCAAUCAGGUGCAUCACAAAAAGUUAGUACUUCAGGUGAAUUGUAAAACUUGAGGCAGCCCAACCAGUAACCGACAACACCAAUUUACUCAACCCAAGACAAGAGCUUGAGCCACGAACACAAAUGAUUUAGAGUUUUACAUAGUUUGGAUUGCUUAAGCUUGGUAAACAACCUUUCAGUUCAAGUAGUGAGUGGUCAGUGCCGCACUUCAUAUAUCGGCUGGGUUGAGAACGCGAUGCUGAAUUUGGUUUAGAAAUGUAGCUUCCAAGGACUACAGUAACCAGGAACUGACAGCCUUUAGACUCCUGAAGGCGAUUCCUUGAGACAAACAAGAUCCCGAAAAGGGGGAAAUCCUGAAACAAACCGGCUGAAAAAGCGACCUAAUUCGAGUUGGCGGUGCGCCCUGGGACGCACUGGAUCAGACAAAUUCCUCGUCUUCUAGGGUUUUGGGGGGCUCUGCUGAUGCUAAUUGGACAAAGUAAUUGAGUGAGUUACCUGAUCUUUCACUCCUCUGUACUCCAUUGCCGUCUCUCCUCUCCUCUGCUCGCUUUUCUCCAAGCUAGUCAGGAUCGCCCUCUCCUUCAAUGCGGCGAGGAAGGCCAGUCACGGGGCCUGGUUAGUCGUAACGGGCGACGGUAGGGCCCGCAAAUAUGGAUAUAUAUAUAUAUAUAUAUAUGCCUAAAAAGCAUCGAGAUACAUGAAACAGAAAGUCCCUUAAUAUGUGAUGAAGAGAGUAAAUGAGUACUCCGUGGCGUAACGGGUGACUAUGGAGUACAUUUGUUUGGGGUACAUAUUUUUGGCAAAAGCGUGAACAAAUAUGGAAUAUUUGAUACUAAGGAAACUUAAAAAUAAGGGUAUCCGCAAUAGCAAAGUCCAUACUAACUCUCCAUAUCAUUUAGAGUAAACGGUAAAAUAACAUGUGCAAGGUCUUUAAACUGGGUCUGGAUAAAUUGUUAGUAUUAAAUGUAAUGUUGUGCAAUGGUUAAAAAGUCGAUUCUUCACUAACACUUAGCCGACUCUUCGUUGAUUUUUUCCUUAAGAUUCUGACUCUUCACGAAGAGUCAACUAUCUUCUUUCUCCUAUUUCUUUUUCCUCCACACGAGCAUAUUUUAAAUAAGAGUCGGUUAAGAUUCAGCCAUUAUGGAUGUCCUAAGUAUGUGUACUCUCUAAGCAAACGUGAGAGUGCAAUACAGCCGAUGACAAACACAAGGCGGAUAUGAAUACACGGUAAUAGAGACUUUUUCUAGGAAACGGAAGUGAAACGGCAUAGCGCGCUGGAGAGACGAGGACGAGUGGCUGACAAAGAAGAUCAGCAUCGCCACGCCAGGUCACGAUGGCCGCAAGACGGUGUAGUCACACCAUGAGAAUUAGGAUGGCAAUGCCAUGAAGGAUACAUAGAUAAAUAGAUUUGUUUUUGCCAUGGUUUGAUGUGAAUGAACUGGAUAGCACAGAGUACUACAAAGUUAAGAUGAAUGGAAAUUCGGGUUGAAAAUCCAUAUCUGGUGUCUUGGAUCAAUGAAGACGACAUCUUUAGCAUCGCUUCCUUCUUGGUUGCGUUAUUUCCGAACCUGACCUAUUUGACGCGUCUGGCUUUGUCAUCUUGGUGCAAUGCUCCUUGUUGCAUGUCGUUUCAUGCGGGUGACGAUCUAGACAUGGUAUAGUUAGCCAAUAUGAUCGUGGAAUUGUGGUUUUAAUCUAGCAUUCUCUACUUAAAUAAAUAAGAUAUGCGUGUAUUUUGGUGAUUUCGUAAACUCGGUCAACUAGCUAAAUAGCUUUGUGUUGCCAUGGAUCAAUUAAAUUAGACUCCCGCUACAGAUAAAUUAGACUAAAAAUCACUACUCUCCCUCCGUUCGGUAUUAGAUGUCGCAAAUUGUCUAGAUAGACAUGUAUGUAACGCGUUUAGAUACAUGCGUAUCUAGACAAAAUCGCAACACUUAUUAUUGGAUGGAGGGAGUAUUAUAUACUAGUGGCACUUGAUAGUAAUUUUAUCCUAACUUUGAUGACAAACAUCAUCGUCAUCUUAGUGUUUUGAAAUAGAUUUAUUUAUUUACAUUAAAAAAAAGAUGACGAGUGGAUGGACCCAAUGACAAACUUUUUUACAUGGAGUAAAACCUAUUUUUCUGCCUAUUGAAUAGUUUCUUUUACCACUUAAAUAGCCACAGUUUGGGUUGGUUAUCCGGUUUUUUUUUUUCAAAAGAUGGGAUGUCAAGCGAGAAACAAUAGAAAACCGUACGAGCAAAGCCAUUUCUUCACUAACAAUGUGUCAAGCUGUCCAAGACACAUCUGAUGCAGCACCACGAACUCACGUUGCGAUCUCAAGGGGAAAAAAACUCACACUUUUCUCUAAAAAAAAAACUCACACUUCCAAAAUCCGAACUCCUGGCAUACGUACACGCCCCGCUGUCAGUGACGCACGGAGGCACGGACCCUAUCACCCCGCGCGCAGGGCCAAAAAUACCGCGCGCGAAAAGCCGCCUAUACGAGGCUCUCCCGCCCGCUCCGUUCCCCUUCCAAAGAGCCUUUCCAAAUCGUUGUUCCAAAGCAACUCCCCCCAAAAUUAUUUCUCCCCCAUCCCCUCCCGCCGCUCCGUCUCCGCCGUCUCCACCGCCGCAACCAAACCCUAGCCCGGCCCCCGCAAGAGUCUCUGCAGCACACCCCGACGACGUCGUGCCGGAGCCGCCGCGACAAUGUUCUACUCCCACUCGAUCCUGGCGAGGAAGAGCCCGCUGGGCACGGUGUGGAUCGCCGCGCACCUCGAGCGCAAGGUCAAGAAGACGCAGAUCGACGGAAUCAACAUCCCCUCCUACGCCGGUGAGUUUCUUCGCCCAAAGAUUCGAUUUUUCUUUCUUUCUUUCCUUGUUGCCCGCGGCUAGGCGGAGAUUUUCCGCGGCGGUUCCACGGAUUGCUUAGGGCGAUAGGGAGGCAAAAGAUGUACAAUACUACUUCUUCCUUUUGAUGAGUGCCUACGAUGUGAUGUUACGUAAAUUAGAGGGCCCGGUUAGGUUCUUGGGCAAGAAUCAUAUCCGGAGGUUUCUUUGCCCGGUCGGGUUUCACGAUUCAUCGCAAAUAUGCUUCAAAUUUCGUGUGUUCUAUUCUUAAGCUGUUUCUCCCCAUGGUAGGACUUUUCUGUAGCAAAGAUGUAAUAUUUUGAACGGACUUCGUGCAUGUGAGAUACAUUUGAGUUAAAUUUCAAUGUGUUACUCUUCAGUAGAGACGGGUGGUUUUCUGUCUGUGUUCAUGCUUCGUUUCACGGGUCUUGGUGCGGCAACAAGACAAAAUAUGUAUUCUUUCUUCCAAAUGGCCACCUUUAUGAUGUCACAUUGAGCAAAGAAGAUGGCUCGGCUGGGUUCUGGGAGAGAGUUAUGCCUGGAGGCUUUUUAGUCUGGACAUGAUUCAUUAUUCAUCUAAUAAAAUAUGGUUGUUAGUUAAAAUUCUGUAUUAAUGUUUGUGUGUUGUGCCAAAGGAAGAUAUUUAGUUUUCUAGUAAUGAUAUUGAUAAUGAGCUAUUCGGUCAUGCUGCUGGAAGCUUGGGCCUAGCUCGUUCAAUUUUUAAGCUAUUUGCCAGAUGUUGGAGCUCUUCUUUUUGUGUGGCAAAGACAUAGUCUUUUAUACCGAUCGUGCAUAUGGAAUUAAGUUUUAAUUUGGUACUCAUUAAUUUUUUUGAUUGUGUGGGGAUUGAUGCUUCUUUUAACCAACAAAAUGUUUCAAGCUGUUCUUAUGAGCUAGUAAGUUCUCCUUUUAAUUCACCGAGAAGAACAAAUGGGGAAUACUUCUUGCUAGGAACAUAUUCGAUGAUUUGGAGUGCACAACUAGGGAUAUUGCCAAAUGCCAACUGAAUUAUUUAGGAAACAAAUAUGUAGAUUUGAAGUUAAUCAGGUAAAGUCACUAAAUUUGCAGAUGGGCUUCAUGGCUAGGACAAUCACCAUUAUACUAUUAUGAGAAGUAAACUAAUUUAACCAAUAGCUAUGAUUUUUUGUUUAGGGGUUUAUGUGAAUACAGAACUUUGUUUUUUUGGGGGGUGCAAUUGUUAUUUUCAAUUUCCCUUUCUCUCUGGCACGAACCUGUUGGUAAUAGCAUGUUGGCCAGGUAAUAGUUUCCCCCAAUGUUAAGCACUACGCCCAAAUAGAAACAUAUAAUAUCUUAGAAAAUGUGCAACCAACUUUGUUUAUCACCGGUAUUUCUGCAUUGUCCUUUGUUCCUUAAGUUUUUGCCUUUGGGUUCUAAAUGCAUGCUCUCUGUUUCUUUCCAGAAUGCAUAAUGGCCCCUGAGGUUCCAAUUGCUCUGAGAUUAUCAGGGCAUCUUCUUCUAGGACUAGUUCGCAUUUAUUCAUGGCAGGUGAAUUACCUCUUUCAAGAUUGUAACCGAAUGCUAAGCGCAGUAAGAACUGCCUUUGCCUCUGUGGAAGUAGAUCUUCCAUUUGAUGCGGACCGUGCUCCGUUUGAGCUUAUCACAAUGCCAGAAACAUUUAACCUUGAUCACUUAAACCUGGAUGAUGCAAUUCGUCAGAUGGAGUAAGCAUUUUUUUUUGCUUCGUAUCACUGCUUUGUGUGUCAAGCAACAUCAAUGUAAUUAUGUUAUUUCUCUUGAACUUUCUGACAGGACGCCAGAUAAUCAUCGGAGAACUUCUGAUCAGAUCACCUUAUCUGGUAUUUGAAGCUCAAUAUAUUCAAUACUUAGUAUGUUUACUGUCAUUUCAACACCAUUGUUUAACGACCUCUUUUCCAUUGCAGAAGAAGAGUAUGUGACGAUCAGUCUUGAUGAGGUAUUCAGUACUGUCUUGCCUUGAUUUUUUUUCCUUAUCUACUUUCUUCUAUAACAUUAUUUAUACCUGUACAUGGUGUAGGAUGGUAGAAUAGAGCCAUCCCCUACUGGUCGAUCUUUAGACUUUGAGACUGAACCACCUGAGCAAGGGUAUGUGUCUCAAAUAUUACUGUUUCCUUUAAAACAUUUCUGGUGGACUCAUGUCUCCUUUGCUACUAUGUCCAGGACGUUCCCUCCAUUUCCAGACGAUGCCAUGUCUCUAGAUCCUGUCCAGGACAAUUUGCCACCGAACCCUACUAAUGGGGAACAAGACUCACCAGAAAGACCACGUGAAGCACCCGAGAGCCCGCUGAGCUUUAGAGGUGUUAUUGAUGGCAAUGACUCCAUGGAAAGACCACGUGAAGCACCUGAGAGCCCGCUGAGCUUUAAAGGUGUUAUUGACGGCAACGACCCCAUGGAGGAAGAUCUCUCGCCCUUCAUUUACAAGGUUACCACACCACCAGCAAAGGACCCAUCUUUAUCCCCUGGUCGAGGAUCUUUGCUUGGGGCAUCCAUUCAUAAUGUACCAAGAAGCAUCAGACAUGAUCCUAUUGAAGAUGAAGAACCAGGCGAUACUGGUUCGUACUCUUGCUAACUCCUUAUUUUUUUAAAGGAUUUGUUUGUCCUCACUUUUAUGUGAAGUUUUAAGUACAAUUGAAACUUUUCGGGAAUUCUACCAGCAUGAGUUUAUUGGGAUAGUGGAUGGCCGUGUAAGAUGUACUUUCUGUUGAUGGCAUAAAGUAUAAACUCCUAAUGCAACUUUCAUUUCUUUACUUUUUGUGAUUUUAGGAAUUUCGGUACCUGAAUUUAGGCUCGAGCCAUCACCACCUCAAGUACAAGACAACAAGAGAAAGAGGAUACCGAAAGUACAAGCCCCCAAGUUCGAUGAUGAAAUAGUGUUAUCAAAUGCGUAAGUUUCAAUAGGCCCUGAACCGUGAAAGGACAGAUUCUUAUACCCCCCCCUUUAUUUUGAUCAAUGUUUCGAGAAAUAACAAAUAAUUUGCUUCAGAUAAUUUCGUUAUCAUCAAAUAUUCAAAUCAUAUAAUUUGUUACCGUGUUAGUCCAAAUUCUGCCGAAACAGUGCACGUAUACUCUGGAAUCCCACCGCUUUCCAUUGUACACCAUCUAAUUUUGUCAGUUGUGCUUUGACUCUUAAAUAUAUUUGCAGCUGUAUUGCCGUAUCAACGGUUUUGGGCAAAUUUCAUAUCAGUGUUACCCUACCUGCCAUUUAACAUUGGCUUGGUAACAGCGACAACAAUCCCAUUCCUUCAGUUCUUUGGUUAAAUAAUUCGUCUAGCAACUGCUAAAUAACAAUUAGGGUAUAUUUUGUUGUAAAUAAUCAACUUGGUCAUUAACUUUCUCUAUCAUUAUGCUCAUUGUGAUUGUGAGAAGUUGUGUCAUGAUAAUAGGAGUUCUGUUGGAUUUUGGUAUUCUUUGUAUCAAUGACAAGGAUAAUUUCAUCAUCUCUUUGCGCAGCUAUAUGAAGAAACAAAUUGAUGGCGAUGAUCUAUGUAAGCUGGUCUGCAAGAGGAAGAAACUACCUCAUACGGCCGUUGAUAUGUGGAAAUUCAACAGGAUUCGCAGAAAGGACAGCUUCUUGUGUGAACCUUUAGUACAUGGUAAGCUGUGCUCCUCGAUUCUGCUGGUGUGUAGUAUUCUUCUCUUAAGAAACCACUUCAUGCCCUUAAUUUGUUCCAUUACAGGAAUGUGCCUUGACCUACAUAAAACCUAUGAGAGGGAAUUUUCUCGUCUGAGUGACUCCGAUUCUGGGCCUGCGUCUGAAAACCGUGCUACGGGUGAUGCAAAUGUUGGUGACCAGAAUGCACCGCCUGAAUGUCAGCUCACCCCAAAGUCUCUAGGAAACGCAGACACACAGUCUGAACAACUCUCCCCAAAGUCUUCAGGAAAUAUAGAUGCACACCUUGAACCUCAGCUCACCCCAAUGUCUCCAGGAAAUGCAGAUGCAACACCAUCUGAUUAUGCACCUGAGCUCCCUCGAUUCUCUCCGCAAAACACUCCACAAACUAACCUAUCUCCAGUAAGAGAAGAUCAUGCUACUCCUUUCAAAACUCCUGGUAGAACCCCACAGUCUGGAUUUGGAGGAACUGGUGCCAGCGAAAUACCACCAACAUAUGGCACUUAUGCAUCACCUGGACAAAGGACUUAUGAGUCUGAUCCUAAUGGAUCUCCAUUUCCAUUCAAUGACGAACUUGAUGAAGACCUGCCAGAGAUUCCUGGGCUCAUAAAUACUCCUAGCACGAAAUCUAGUGCCGGGACAGGCGCCACAGGAUUAGGCAGCAUGUCUGCUAGAACAAGGUAAUGGCAUAUGUUUCAAGGGAUGGCUUCAUUAAUUUUUUUGGAGGGAAAGCUAGGCAUUAUCUAAGUGCAUGAUGUGACUUUUAUCUUACUGCAAAUGUAGGGCUGUGGCGCAGUAUUUUAAAGAUAAGAUGUCUUCAGCCACAUCAAAUGACCAACCAGGAAAAUUCAGUUUGAACAGUAUCUUGGAAGGAAGAAGAAGAAAGCAAGCGGCGCGCAUGUUUUUUGAAACAUUGGUAAUAUCCGGACCCUUGUCUACUUUCUUUUAUACAUAUAACUGUUUUUUGUGCAGGUGCAAAUAUUUGUUCUGUUUCUGAUGUUGGAUUUUGAUUUUGUUUCUUCUGUUCCUCUAGGCCCUGAAGAGUUAUGAUUAUAUUGAUGUACAACAAGAAGAGGCUUAUAGUGAUAUAAAAAUUUCAGUUAGACCCUCACUCUCAGCCGCCAAACUUUGAGCAACUCAGACUUGGUUUCUGUCCAGAGUUCCAGUUAUUUUGUUCCUUUCUGUUUCUUGAUCUGUAGUAUUAAUCCUUAUAUGUGGGAUCGAGGUGCCUUGGGCAUGCAUACAGUUGUGUUUAUGCCAUCUCUGUCUGUCGAUUCUGUUCAGAACCUGGGAAUAGUGGGUAUGAUAAGAGAUAUUUGAUCAAAAUACUAAUUCUAUUGUUUUUGUUUUGAGCUGUCGAGAACUGAGAAGAAUUUGAAUUUGAAACAAAUUGAAGCGAUGACCAUUUUACAUUGCACUUUGAUAAUUUGUUCUGCCUUGCCUCGUUGACAUGUGGCCCUAGACCACCACAUCACAUGCCAGUGAAACAAAGCAGGGCCAAUUAUCAAGGCACAAAGUGGAGCAUAUGGAAGAAUAUCUCCUCUGAGUUCGCAACUCUAUAUAAGUUGCUGUUUAUUUCCCACCCUGCCUCCCAUUUCCGUAUUCAUGACUGAAUAUGAAGUUUAUACAGAAUAACAGCUGAACCAAAUUGUGGCCUGUUUGUAGACUAGAUAGACUUCACAUUUGAAAUGCUUUCUUUCUAUGUAAGACCAUGAUCAUCACUCAAUGGCUCAAUGCAACUGGCGACAGCAUGAUUCAGCACUUCUGGCUAAGUUAUCUGAUUAUUAUCACGAAAUUUUAGCAUAACAGGCUAACAGCAAACAGACGGCAAAGAGCAGAGUGAAACAAAGUGAAUUUCAAGCUUCCUCGUCUUCGACCUUCGUUUUUUUACAGAACACAACCUUUAUUACCACCAGUCUGGAAUUUCUUGUAUACACAUAGCUAGCCAGCUAGGUACAAUCCUCAUCAGCAAACCCCAGCCUUGACCCAACAGUGUCAUAAACCACCCUCUUGUUCCUCUGCUGGUAGUUCCCGAUGAUGGGCGUUUGGUCCUCGUACGGCAGGCUCGCCAUGGCCAGACAAACCUGAGACCCAUCCUUCCUGACCACGAACAGCAUCCCGGCGGCGUCGACGGUGACCUGUGCGCCGCCCUCGAGCGUCAGCGUGAGCAGCGGCACGUUGACCUCGUCGCGGCCCGUGAGGUCGUAGCACGCGUCGAGGAUCGAGAACCCCGGCGCAGCCGGGUACUCGAACCGGCGCGCGAACUCGGCGCGCACGGCCUUGUAGACCGACGGCGCCAGCCGCGUGAUCACCGUGCCGGAGUCCACGAGCACGUUGCCGGCGCCGAACCCCGGCGCGGUUAGGGCGGCUCCUCCGCCCACGGCCGCGCCCGUGAUGUUGAUGAAGUAGAAGGGCGGCUGGGUCGGGUCCGCGAUCAUCCGUGUGUAGGCCAUGUUGGGGAAGGACGAUGAUGGGCCGGGCCCGAGGGAGAGGGAGCCUGUGGACGUGGUGGUCGCGGGGAGGCAGUAGGAGAAGACGCCGCCGAAGCGCGCCGCGGUUUGGGAGACGAGCGAGAGGUCGGUCCGGCCCAGGCCCAUCAGGCCCGCCGUGCCCCCGAACAGGCCGCGGUUGCUGAGCCCGCAGCCGAAGACGAAGCCGUCGAGCUUGGUGGUGGUGCCGAGGCCCAGGGUGUCCUGGGCGAGGACGCCGCGGCUGAAGGAGCCGUCGCCGUAGGACAGCGCGUAGUAGCAGCGCUGCUCGCUGUUGCCGGCGGAUCUGGCGCAGGAGCCGGGGGCGCCGGUGGCGUCCUUGAGGGAGGCGGCGCAGGCGGGGGAGCCGCAGGGGACGGCGGCGAAGGUGGGCGAGGCGGCGGGGUCGAAGAGCGGGUCCCGCUGGGCGUAGCAGCUGGAGCCAGGGCACGGCUCGCACUGCACCCAGGUCAGGUCGCUGCCGGUGUCCACGAUCACCGUCAGGUUCUUCGCGCCGCCGCCGCCGAGGGCGAUGGUGGUGACGUAGUUGAGCGUCUGGUAGCGGAUGCCGGAGCCCAGCGGCACCUCGGCCGCCGCCGCCGACGCCUGGGUGGUGGUGGUGGAGGAUGCUGGCUUGGGUUUUCGGAGCUGUAGCGAGGCGGCGCGAGCGGAGUCGGCGGCGAGGAGGUGUUUCAGGUAACGCUCGCGGGCGGCCGGGUGGUCGGGGACGGUGGCUGUGGAGGAGUGGUGCUUCAGCUCUAGCACGGCGGUUGUUGAUCUUGAUCUUCUUGCUGCCGGCUCCUCUGCAGCUUUCUUGUCUUCUCCUGGAAAAGAUGAGAUGGUGGACGAGUGUAUGUGACUAUCAGGCAGAGGAAUGUGGAAACAUGCAAUUGAUUUAGGUCGGGUUUCAGAUUUCAUUUUUAAGAUAAAGGAUUCGCAAAGGAUCUUUGCAGGAUUUCAAUCGUUUCAUAAAAAUAUGCAUGACAUUACAAUUCUUCUACUGUUACUAUUCUUAUCCUUUCCGAAUCCCGUGAACAAAAUAAGCCCUAUAUGUGCAUGAUAUGGUUUUCGAUAUGUGAGUAGAAAAAGGGAUUCAAUUAACCAUGAGAAAGGUCAGUGAAAAAUACAAGAUCUGUAAUCCCAAGUAGGACUGUCAGAGAAUAUUUGCCACUGGAAUAUUAUAUGAGCUCUAGAUGCGGGAUCUAUUUAUUUCAGCGUCAGCAUUCAACAUAGUACAAGUGGGGAAUUGACGACGAGAAGGGUCAGUGAAAAAUACAAAUGUAACAUCCCAGGAAGGCCACUGUCAGAGAACAUGGACCAUAUCAUAUAUCCAUAUACGAGCAUCUGUGUGAGAGUCCAAGAGCCCAUGUCGACGGAAUCAGCCUACACCACAGUAUAUUCUUUAUCAUGGAUGAACAUGCAACAUUUUAUCAUUCUUUUCUUGGUUUCUAAGUCGAAGUUGAAGAAUAUUAACACCUCGAAAUCUUAUCACUAACUGUACAUAGAGAGACAGAGACAAAAUAAAGGACAUAGCAGUGGAAAAUGUGUCAUACUACAUACUCAGAAUGAUUGGACUGGAGACCAUAUUUUUCGUGAAGUUUUACUACAGUUGUAAGGUACUCCCUCCCAUCCUAAAUUGUUAUCGAAAUUUUACAUGUAUCUAGAUGCAUUUUAAUAAUAGAUAUAUUCAUAUUUGGGCAAAUUUUAGUCAAGAAUUUAUGAUCGGACGGAGAGGGAAUACAUUAAUUCUUUCCUCUCGAAGCAUAGUAGUAGUAGUGUAGUACUGCAAACUAGUGUAUCUAGCUUUAGCUAAAAAUUAACUGAUGGCAUUUUUAAUUCUCAAAUGUAAUCGCUGCACAUUUCGGUCCAACUACAACUGGCCGCAGAAAUCGGAAUAGCAUGCAUAAGAUUAUCUAGCUAGCUGGUGUAUAACAACUGACCUGCUAGGAACCCAGCCUGCUUUGCUUGCGCAUAGCGGCGCCCCUGGAUCGUCUCCCUCGCGGCAGCAGUGCCAGUGCCCCAGUACUCCAACUCACGCAGCGACAGCACCGCGCUCUUCUUCCCGACCACGGCAUUCCGGGCGUCGCUGCUGCCGGCGGCCGCGGCGACAUGGCCAACGAAGGCAAGGAGAGCAAUUAGGACAGGAAGAAGAAGGUGGUGCUGCACGGGAGACCAGCUGGAGGAAGAAGCGGCCACCAUUGCAAGGAAUGGAGUGGAUCGACCUCGUGGGAAGCGGCCAAGAAGAAGAAAGGGGAGUAGCGCAAGAGACAAGAGAAUGUGAAUGUGUGAGAGAUCGAUGGGAUCGACGCAUGCAUGUAGUUUUGGGUAGAGAUUCUUGAGGGCGGUCACAAGAGAACAAAGAGACAGACAGGGUCGUCUUGCUUUGGAUGCACGCGCGCCGGCGGCAGCACGAGAGUACUGUAAAUGUUGUAGGUUUGUGAAAUGUUUGGUAUCACGGGCACAACCAAACCGGAGAGAGAGAGAAGCUACCGCUUAUUGUUUGCUUGCGGCCGGAGGCGAUAUAUAUAUAGUUGUUGUAGGACACUGUUAACCCCCGGCCAUGUGGUGGCUUGGCAUCGAUCGAUUCUAGUCUAGGGGAAUUGCUCCGGGGAAUUGCUGCGGUGAGUCUAGAGUUUGGUUCCAGUUCGAAGUAGUUCUACCUGUUCCAGUUCGAAGAUAGCUGGCGGAUCUUUGGCCUGCGGUUGUCGUCGCGUGGGCCUGGGUCCUCCUACAGGCCCACAGGCCACACGAGUAGAUGCGCUGGGUAAUGGGCUGAACCUCCUCAUCCGGAGGCCCACGAGCUUGUCACGAAUAAUAAAAACCAGUAACCUUCCCGUGCGUUGCUAGGGCUAAAAAGACGUAUAGACACAUUAAAUAAAAUGAUAUAUUAUUUCUGAACAUGUAUUAUAUGUAACCAAAAUGCAAUUGAUAAUCGUGUCGUAACUAUUUGAAUAAUUCUUGUCAAAAUAUUACAUGUAUCCAGACGCUUUUAAGAAAUAUACUCCCUCCUUUUCAUAAAGAAUGGCGCCCACGCUUUUCGAGGUCGAAUUUUGAACAACAAUUAGAACAAUUGUAUGUAGAUUAUAUGUUACAAAUUUAAUAUCGUUGAAAAGAUUUUUGAAAUAUAAAUCAAAUGAUAUAAUUUUUGUAACACAUAAAUUUCAAAUCAUUAGUCUAAUUGUUAGUCAAAAUAAAAUCUUAAAAAACGUGCGUGCCAUUCUUUGUGAAAUUGAGGGAGUAUAUACGUCCAUAUUUGGACAAAUUUAAAACAAGAACUAUAUUUUUCUUUUAUCUAGUAUUUCAUCGAACACCUCACGUGCGUCACAGCUCACUGCCGGCCGAACGCUUGACUCAAACAACAAGAUGCAGAAAACUAUAAUUAUGACUUUAUGAGUAAAGAAAUCAAGAACCAGAGACAUCACAUACAUCUCCCUGCUGCGAACUGCGAACAUUAAACCCUAUCACACUUGAAGUGGAAGACGUAGAGGCCCUGGGUGCAGUAGACGCUGCAGUCGGGGGCGGCUUCGCCUCCUACUCCGUUGGUGUGCGCUCGAGGGUCUGGCGUGCGACGGCCCCCGCGUUGGUGGCCACGCCCGCGCCAUUGUGCUCCGCCAGCACCACUGCGCCGCGCGCCGCCACCACGUACUGGAUCUUCCCCAUCUCUCGCUCCCUCCUCCGAUCCGGCGUCGCUCUUCCCCUUCCAUGACCCCACGCCGCCGCUGCUAUGAGAAGAUGGGUGUUGGAUCCGCUGGCUCGCGCCCGCACGGGGGAAACGUGAAUCGGGGGAUUUGGGGGUUCCUCCUUGGGAAAAAAAUCGGAGGAUGCGGAACUGCUCGAGGAAGCGUGAAAUUUGGGGUGUACACGAAUCAGUCAUGAUGGUGGUGGAGACGGCUCCCGUUGGGACCUCCGUGGCGGUGUCUGGUCGGGCAGAGGCAUCGGCAGGUGGGUCAGGUCUCGGUGAGGGGUUGGCGCUGGAAGGACGCCGUCUCCGGCUACGCACGAGGGGCCGGAGUUCGGGGAGGUGAAGAGUUGGAUCGAAGUUCGGGAAAGUGAGGAGUUGGAUCGGGUGAGGAGUUCGAUCCGGAAGACUUCCGGGAGGAGGACACGAGGUGAAGGGUGAGGCCAACUCCAAUUUAAUAUAUCGUUACAGACUAGCAAAAAGCCCGUGCAUUGCUAUGGAGAACGGAAAAUUGUAUCAAACCGUCAAAUUAAAUGUUGUUGUGUUUCAUGAGCAC